AACCGUAAAGUCGAAGACGAGUAGUGAUAGGCUUCCGGCACAAGGGGCACAAAGUUAACGUCGCACCACAAUCCUUGCAUGUCUGCAAAUUUGCAUACACUCCAACGCUAAUUAAAAGACAAGCCUCAAUGUUGAAAGAUGAGAUGCCUAAAUUCAUAAUACCCUUAGGUGGCAUUCACUUUUCAUUAUUGAUAAGAUACAAGAUUGAGUAUGUUUAUCAUUAUUUGGAUUUCUCCAGUCAUAUCCUUUCAAUGGAUAUAAAUCAAGCAAAAUUAGCUCUAUUGAUAGAAAUUAUCCGGGGUUGCGGGAUAUCCUAAGUUUCAAUCUAUCUUAGUAGACACUGGAUUAGCCUAUACUAUUUUUAUCUGUCAAGAUUAAUCCUUAAAAGUAAACACCAUCUUAAACAAAUGAAUUAUUUGUAGAAGUAAAUUCAUCUUGCAUAACUCGGGUAUAGAUUCUUACCAUAUGUCCACACCCGAAAGCCAAGUCCUUCCGAUUGGUUAAGCAGAUCGGGCAUGCCUUGAAACAAGAGGAAGAUGUGUUUGCAUACGGAACAGAAAAAUACAGCAACGUAUAUAAUAAGAGGCGACAAACGGGCAUGGAAGUUCACUUACUUGUUCAGCCGGUGGUCCUGCAGAUUCAGCUGGUUCUAGGCUGCUCAUAUGUGCAAUUGAUCUUGUAGCUUUCUCCUUGUCGUGGUCGAUUAUUGCACGAGGAGGAGGAAGAGGUUGUUUCCUAGGACCUGAACCGUGACUUCUGAAUAAAACAAAAAACAAGAGAACAUUGUUUGAAUUAUUAAGAUGGGAGAGAUACAUGAUCAUGAAAGAGGGGCGAGGGACUCCAACGAGACAUUUGACAUAAAUUCGAAGAGAUGCAUACAAAAGGGCGGAGCUCCAGUUGAGGAGUACUGAGAAUUAUUGGCCUUACUCGGUAUAUCGUAGUGUCAGUGUUGCUUUGAACUGAAGUGGAAUUUCCAUCAACGCAGCAAGGGCAAAAGCUGAUUCCUUUUUAUCUGUCUCCGUGUGCUCGGAUAUAAUCUUUGUGAAGUUGACAAACUGUGACACAAGAGGGAUGUCAACUUCAAACUCACAUUUCGUGUCAAGGAUAAACCAAACUAUAUAUUUGCAGAAAUUAUGCAGUAACCUGAAAAUUGUCAAAUGCUCGUUGAGGAAGGUUAUCAUCGAAUUCUUUCAUCUCAUCCCACGGUCCAUCUCCCACACCGACAAGAAUGAUGGAGAGGGGAUAUUCGCUGCAUUUCAUGUGCCAUAGAUUACUUAAGGCAAGAAUACAGCAUAAUCUAAUUUGUUAGGAAUCGAAUCAUGCAUAACUUAAAUUAAUAAAUCUGUUUACCUUGCAGCAACUACAGAAUUGAUAGUUGCUUGUUCUUGAGGACUUAACUUUCCAGGUAACGUGUCGGGACUUCUAGUUACCUGAUUAUAGAAAAAGUUUAAUGAGUUAUUCAGCAUGAGAAAUUAAAUGAUAAAUUCAAUGGAUGAAAGAAACAUGACCUGUCCAUCUGCGAUGAUAACAAGGACAUGAUACUGAAAAUUGCUCUUUUCCACAAUAUGAACCGCUGCAUCAAUUACUGGAGCAAACGAUGUUGGGCCUGUAUGUCAAGCAGCCACGGGAAAGCAUUUCUAGUAAACGAUGUGUGGUAAGAGAAUAUCUAUCUUUUACUGAUAUGAAAUGGAGUUCUUGAAAUGCUGUACAAACCAAUCUAGAAAAUAUAAAUCGAGUUCCUAAAUAGAUUUUAACAGGGUAUCAUUUAUAUUCAUUUUCAUUCAACAUUAAGCUACUAAAAUGGUAUCUUUUGUGAACACCUAUCACUCUUUGCUGUUGUUUGAUAAACAAGAGCACUCCAUUUUUCGGUCUCCAACUGGAAUUCAAGACACGAACAACUCGAUUAACACUUUCGAAGAUGGUUGUAGUUAAUAAGGAAUUUUACAAGAUUUUCGUUCAAAGAGGGUCAUCUCUCAGAGAAGGUACCAUGAAAACUGCAGAUAAUUAGCUCAAAUCAAAGUGAAAUGAUUACCUGAUAGAUUCAGAAGUGGAACAAUUUCUCUAUAUCGUGCAAGUGCUUCCUCAAAUCCAUUGCAAGGUCGAUGAUCGGGGUAAAAGCUGAAUACAUGCUGAUCAUGUGUCGUUGCUGAAAAGAAAAUAUAAUCCAUCUAGUUACUGUCAUGGAUAAUUAUUGAUCCCCCUCCUCCAAAAAAAGGAAAAUAUAACUCACCAUCACCAAAUCCAAAGCAAGGUAUUAAAUUGUCUUCGUCAAAGGGAGAUAAAGUCCUUCCAAUAAUGGAAAUGGCUUGCUCGUAUGGGUUAGGAGUGCUACCGAUAGCAUGGAGGCUUUUUCUGUGGAAAGAAUACUUUCCUACAACCUUAACUAAGUAAGAUGGUCCUUGAUCUCCACUUAUAAGACACUGCAUAUAUAAGAAACGACUUUUAUCUAAAGGGAUCACCUGUCCAUUCGUUGCUCUUGGUAAAAUCGAUUCCAAGGAUUAAAUUUGAUGACUCCAGGCCAGCUUCUCUUAAUGCAUUGAUAACCUGUAAACAUGAUUAUAUACCGUCUUAGUCACCCGAAACCAAUGUCUAAAGAAGGCAUCUUUUUCGGACAAAUCAUAAUGCAGGAUAAGUAAAACUAUGUUGGGUACUUGAUCUUCAUAACUCAGAGCUGAUGAAGUUUGAAAUGGAAUAAAAAUACGAAAGAUAUAACAACAGACUACGAAGCAAAGAUUUAGUCGCCACGGCAAUGCAGUGACUGUUUGAAAAUCACAAAAAUCACAAUACUACCAUGAGGAAAACCAAUACCUCAUCCAAAGAGUUGAAGUUAUCUGCUAUGUAUGCAGAGUGCUGUUUCUUCCUAUAGCUAGUACUCGUCGAAGUUGUUGUAUCUGAUGGGGUAUGAUGCUGAUAACUAGAUGGUGUCGAACUGGUGGCAUGCUCUGGAGAUUGAGGUAUGUAGCCAGUAUCAACCGUGUAUCCUCCGUGUACAGCCGGUUGACGUGAAAAAUUUUCAUAUUCAUCAUCAGGUGAUGAUUCGCUGUUUCCCAUGACGUGGCAGUUUAUGUCGACUCAAUAACAGAAAACUCUGCAUAGAUAGAGAAAGAAGCAGUGUGAGAUAAUGAAACUGUAGAUGAUGUUGUUCUUGAUUCUCAAUCCAACAUUACAUAGAAUUCGAUAACAAGAAAGCGCUGCCAAAAUGCAAGAUUGAGUCCUAUAUAUCACUCAUUUCCAAUCAAAGAAGAUUCAUUUCUGUCACAGCUUGGAAUUGAAAACUUUGUGAGAUUUAGGCCCUUUUUUCCAGCUCCCAAAAGACUAACAACAUGAAAUUUUGGAUGUACAUGACAACGAAGAUUCAUCAUAUCACAAUUUCUUCCAAAAAUAUUGACCCCAUCUCAUUUUCAACAGAGUUGAUGCAUUUAAUGUAUUUGAAAACUAUCCUCAUUCACUCACUUAAAAUAAAAGAUCAUUAAUUCCCAGAUCAAUAAAUAGAGAUAUAUUACUUUAUUAUCAUUUAAUAAAGAAAGAGGGCUUCUUUGACCACCGAAUUCUGACCAAACUCUGUCAUUCUAACUGUGUCUUCUAAAAAAUUUUGCUUUACCAAGAAACUGCAGAAUUCUAUUAAUCAAGGAUGAACUACUCUUUGAACUAUAAGUAAGCAAUGAUUGGAGUCGAAGUUACUUAUUUCUGCAGUUAUCCUAAACAGAACUUGGUAAUGAAGAAGCAGAAAAUGUUCGGUUUACAGAUCAGUUGCCGCAAAUGGAUAAAUCAUAUUGGGCAACUCAACAAUACGAAUUGUGACUACAUCCAAGAAUCCCAAUCCAUAUAAGUCAACUAGGAAAUCAUAGCAUAUUCAUGACUUUGAUCACGAGAGAUUUAAUCCCUUUUAAUUGAAAACUAUUAGAAAUACAUAUAUGCAGGUGAGAGAGAGAGAGAGAGAGAGAGAGGAACCUGCAGUUUGUGUUCCUUAAUUGGUGCAGCAAAAGAAGCAAGAAUAGGAAAGUGGGGAAGAUGGCUAAACUUGCAAGCUUCGGCAACAGCUGUAGUAGUUGGUGUAUAGCAUUAGCGCAUGCUAUUUUACUGGAUAUUUAUAUGGUCUGAAAAGUGCGGCUGAAUGUAAGAAAUGUCAGAAGUCAGCCGCUCACAACAUUUUUUUAAGGAAAGCUGCUGUACCGUAUAAUCGGGUUGACCCGUACCCAAAAUAGUAUUAUUUAUAUAGAUUUGAUCAGGAUAUGGAUUCAAAUUAGAAUGCGGGUCAAAGUUUAAGUGAAUGUAUAAUUUGAAUGUACCGCAAAGACUUUACCAUUUUUCAUAUAGCAAAGACUUUAUAAAGUCGGUUCUAUAUUUUUUUUUGUAAAUCAACAAUAUUAAAUAAAAAAAUUUAAAAGUCGCGUCAAAGGGAUUCAAACCUAAGAUCUCAAAGAUUCUUUUUUUUUGAUAAAUUAACAAUAUUAAAUUUUUUUAUUUUAUUUUUAAAAAUUAAAUUAAAUUUAAAUUUAAAAUUUACAAUAAUAUGUAAAAAAUACAUUAAAAAUAAACUAUAAAAUUACAUUAAUUAAAAUAUAUCCUAAAAAUUAAAUUAGAUAUAUCAUCUUCGAUGUUUCACGAUCUCCUUUACACCAUUCGUUUAUGUAUGGCCAACCUCAUUCACGAAGUGUCGGUGUUUAAAAUUUUGUGGUUCAGGACGUCAUACUUCACUUGUUGUAAAACGUUGAGGAGGUUAACGGCCUUUCCAACGUGCAUUUCCACUUGUCUGGGGUCGACGAUGGCUCACCUUGCUUCCCUUUAUCUUUGUUGUUCUUCUUUGCCACCUUUUGGCUUGUAGACCUAGUUGUGAUGCUCGGUUCGGAAGACGUCGUCAUGUACCCCCUUCGGAGGUAUUCUUCGUCCAUUUCAAAGAAUGGACGUCUCCACCGACGGAAGCGAAUCGUUCAGAUUCAAAGAGGAUGCGCCAAACCGAGAAGUAUUUGUAGUAUUUAAAUGGGUAAGGGUGAGCUAAAUGGAGCAGAAAAAGCGGAUCGUCCUGAUCUCAUACAUUGGAGUCUCAUAUUGGUCUUGUACAAGACCACCUUUAGUUUAUAUGAGAAUUUGUGAAACCGAUAAAAAAUGUUUGGAGUAUUGAUAUUGGAGAAAAUGUAUUGUUACAAGAGUAUAGUUAAGUAGAUUGUGGACAAAUAGUGUAAGUUACAAGAGUAAAAUUGUGAAAAUUAUAUAUGGGGUAUUGUUCAAAAAUAAAAUAUGCAUAAAUUUGAUGGACGUACCAAAAAGAAAGAGUAUGUAUAAAUAUGGAGGACGCAGAGAGUAACAAAUUUCAAUCGUACCCAAAUAAACCUCAAAAUAAAUAAUAAAUAAAUAAAAUAAAAAUAAAGAAAGAAACUAAAAUGCAUAAAGCAGAAAAUGAUGGCAGGGCAAUCAACGUCUUACUAAAUUUUUGGCAACAUUAUGGAAACCAACGGCGACUCCAAACACCCAAACCAUAAUACGACGAAAACAAACACACAUCAUUACUCACUCCUGCUGUGGCGGCAGCUCCCUCUUUCAGGUACUUCUCUCUCUCUCUCUCUCCAAUUUGUAUAAUUCAGAUUCUCCAUUAAGAUCUCACUAUACAUGUCACUGGUUUUUUCUCUUCCAAGAAAAGGAAACGGCUGUUUGUAUAAUUUCAAGUGGGAAUGACGUUUAUACUGCAUAAGAUCCGAUUAACCAAAUGGGAUUUCCUUGCAAAUAGAAAUCUUAAAUUCUCCGUCACUCUUCACACCGAAUUGGAAUGAAAGACUCGGUUUUUAGGAUUGUGCAUGCGCUGCACAUGCAAGAGUUGAUCAUCACAAUUCACAACCAACACUACAGUUUUCAGCAGUUUUUGAACGUGCAUGCAAUUUUGAUACUCUGCGUUUGCGUUGAAAUGCCUAGUUUUGUGGGUUUUAUGCUUAUCUCUCAAGGUUUUUUCCCCAAAUAGUUUAUUAUAAUUUCUGUGUGGUUCGUCUUUAAUUCUGAGUCCUGUAUCCCUUUUUUAUUUCCUCGAGUCUUUUUUACCCUGAUGAAUUUGAAAAUUUCUGAAUUUUCCACUGAAUUGAAUUUGUGAGAAUUUGGAAUAGUGCAUUGAAUUCAGCUUUUGGCAUCCCACUUUUUAUAUUGUCCUUUUGUGUGUGUGUUUAGUAAGAGGAUAGAGAGAUUAAAUUUCUCUUUCCAAUUUUCAUCUCUCUCUUGUGCAAUUAAUUCUUUUUCUAAGUUGUAAGUUCUUUUUCAAGAAACUCUCUGUAUCAUAUCUGUAAAAAGGAUUUUGGGAGUGAUGAGGUUGAGACCAUGUUGAUUAUAAUUUCUUGUAUAGUAUUUCACUUACAUAUGAAUCAUAUCUGUAAUGGAUAUUGGCAUUCAUGUGGCACACCAAGUCGAACUAUGUCAAUUGCAAUUCUUUUAUAUGAUCUUAUCAUUGCUUUUACUUGGCAAGAACUAUUGAUUCAGCUUAUAUGUCCACAAAUUUUCUUCUGAAUGAGGCAAUAACAAAUACAUCUUGCAUUUUUUGGCACGUGGUUGCCGUUCUAUGUAGAGGUAAUUGAUAAUGGAAUAUGCUUAAUUGGUAUUGAAUGAUUUUAUUAGUGAUGUGAACUUACAUGUCAAACUUUUACUACUAGCCCUUGUGAUUUCAUCUCUGUCAUAGCUCAGUUUUACUUUAGCUUUCUUCAUCUCCUUUCAGUAAAAUCCUUUUUUGAGUUGCAUAGCUAUUUUAUUUCAUGUGCAGGGUAAUGGAUACUGGAGGUAACUCUUUACCGUCUGGAGCAGACGGGUCGAAAAGAAAAGUGUGCUAUUUCUACGACCCUGAGGUUGGAAAUUACUAUUACGGCCAAGGUCAUCCGAUGAAGCCCCAUAGAAUGCGCAUGACUCAUGCUCUUCUCGCACAUUACGGGUUGCUGCAAAACAUGCAUGUCUUGAAGCCCAACCCUGCUCGAGAUAAGGAUCUUUGCAGGUUUCACGCAGAUGAUUACGUCUCUUUCUUGAGAAGAAUCACCCCGGAGACGCAACAAGAUCAGUUGAGGCAGCUGAAGAGAUUCAAUGUUGGGGAGGACUGCCCUGUUUUUGACGGCCUUUAUUCCUUCUGUCAGACCUACGCUGGAGGCUCCAUCGGUGGUGCUGUGAAGUUAAAUCACGGACAUUGUGACAUUGCCAUAAAUUGGGCCGGUGGGCUGCACCACGCCAAAAAAUGCGAGGCUUCUGGUUUCUGCUAUGUCAAUGAUAUAGUGCUGGCCAUUUUGGAACUCCUUAAAACCCAUGAGGUACACAACCUUCUAUAUUCGAACUGUCAUUUUUGGUAAUUGACAUAUAAAAGUUUCUAUCGAUAAUAUAUUAAUGGCAAUGCUUUGCUUAGUGUAGUAUAUGAGAUAAAAGAGACUUGUAAGAGAUCAUGAAUUCCUGUGCUUGGUAAUGGGGUUGAUGCUUUCGAUCAGCUUAUAUUCUCAUAUCCAUGUGGUGUAUGUUCCCAUUGCAGCGUGUCUUAUACGUGGACAUCGACAUUCAUCAUGGUGAUGGAGUUGAAGAGGCUUUCUAUAUAACUGACAGAGUCAUGACUGUUUCCUUCCACAAAUUUGGAGAUUAUUUCCCCGGUACUGGGGACAUACGAGAUAUUGGAUUCGGAAAGGGGAAAUAUUACGCGCUUAAUGUCCCGUUAGACGAUGGAAUCGAUGAUGAAAGCUAUCAAUCCUUAUUUAAGCCAAUUAUUAGUAAGGUAAUGGAGGUUUAUAGGCCUGGAGCAGUGGUCUUACAAUGCGGGGCUGAUUCCCUAUCCGGGGAUAGGUUAGGCUGCUUUAACCUCUCAGUUAAAGGUCAUGCAGAGUGCGUCAGGUUUAUGAGAUCUUUCGAUGUGCCCCUUCUUUUACUCGGUGGAGGUGGUUACACGAUACGCAAUGUUGCUCGUUGCUGGUGUUACGAGGUAAUUAUAUAACAUGCUAUUGUGAUACCUUUACAGCGAAGCAUUUUGAUUGUUAAACAAACUCUUAUCUGUGUAAAACCUAAAUGUAUGAGAAAGAAACAUAUGCAUACUCCAUACUGUAAAAGUUGUAUGCUAAAAGGAAUUUGUCUUUUAGUUAUUGACACCAUUAUUGGGAAACUUGAGUUUGCUUGGGCAGCUGCAAUAUUUUCCCAAUAUACAAGAAAAAUAUACUUUUCUCGACUUGCAAAAAGAGCCGGAAGCAGUUUUCUUCUUCUGACCUUUGUCAGUUGUCAUAAUUGAUUUCUGUAUUUUGAGCAGACAGGAGUGGCGCUUGGGAUUGAGAUCGACGAUAAGAUGCCACAGCACGAAUAUAUAGAGUAUUUUGGCCCAGACUACACUCUUCAUGUUGCUCCGAGUAACAUGGAAAACAAAAACUGUCGGGACAUGCUCGAAGAAAUAAGAGCAGAGCUUCUCAAAAAUCUGUCAAGACUUCAGCAUGCUCCAAGUGUUCAGUUUCAGGAGCGGCCACCCGACAUUGAACUACCUGAGGUAUAUUCUUUACACCCGAUGAUUUGUUCAGUUACAAGGUUUUAUCUCUAUAUCUUAUGUUUUCAGUUUAGUUAUUCUUGUAAUUUUCCUUACACAGCUAUUUGUUUUUACCUUAACUGAGCACGUCAAGUCUUAUUAAGGACGUGUUUACGAUUCCGCCUCUGCAAUAUGUUGACACGACUCCGAGCAGAGCUUAAGCUUGAAGAAACUCAUGACACCAAGACUAUGAAAAUGAUAUUACGGCAAAUAAGUAAUAGAAAUCAUGAAAUGAGGAACUAUAAGAAUAGAAGAACUAUUAUGAUCAUGAAGAAUCAAAUGAAUUGAUGUUGGCUACAAUGAAUUAUGUAAAUUUUCUGCUGCUGCAAAUAGUCAAUUGUUAAUAAAAUGUGUAUAUGUAUGCAAGGAGAAAUGUCAUGUUUGAUUAAGUUAGUUCUCAUAUAGGUUGACGAAGAUGAAGAAAAUAAGGAUGAACGGAAACGUCCUGAUUCGAACGUUAACAUUGAUUAUGAAAGGUAUAGUUGUGUGCUAAAACGACCACAGUGUUUCUGCUUAUCAUGAUUUAUCUUCUAUUUCUCUUGUAUAUACAGAAAUUCUACGCCUAGCAGGGUGAAGAUGGAAUUUGUCGAACCUAUGGCAAACGACAAGGUAUGUGUUCCGUAAGGUCUUAAAUACAAAACAACAAUUUAUCGAAUCUAUGGUGAAAUCUUGAAGCAUAAACUAGAUAUUACAUCAUCUGAAAAUGUAAGAGCUUCUCUGUUUCAUUGUUUAGAACGACGAGGCCGUGGAUGAACUUGCUCGAAAGAUAGAUUCAACACUUGCGCCUACAAGCUCAAAGGUACGCACCAUACUUUCAUUUUCUAAUAUGCAAUUUUCAUGGCUUAGCAAUCAGAGUUGGUGUUGUUCCAUAACAGGGCUCAAUGGCAGCUGCAGAAGUAGAUGGCAUGCAAUAUGUUAAGCUCGAGAAGGAGAACACGAAAACCCUACUCGAUGAGCUUGCCCCGAUGGAUCAGCAUUGACCUGUCAUCGAUUUGAAAAGAAAGAUCAGACAAUGAAAGGCAACUCAGUUGGUAGGCAGUUUAGAUUGCAUGCAUGGGAAGUGGAAAAAUUGUCCUACCGCGUGGGCAGGACAAUAUGCAGGUCGUAGUGAAAGUCCUAAGAUUAUUCUUGAAGUUGUAGCGGAUUAUGAUAUUUGGAUAUGGGUUAUUUUUUAGCUAAUGGUAUAAAUCUUAAAUGGUCUACCCUUGUGCAAACAAUUCACGAGCCUCGUACUCCGAAGACAAGGCAUUUUGCAAUGAAACAAGAAGCAUGUUGAAAAACGUCCAACGUGCAUUUGGAGUUCUUCAGUCACGUUUUGCAAUUGUAGCGGACCAAUACAUUAUUGAAAUAAAGAACUGCUACAUGAUAUAAUGACUACAUGCAUAAUUAUGCAUAACAUGAUAGUUGAUGAUGAACGCAAUCUUAGUGCUCCAAUUGAAGUCACGGUAGAAACGCCACAACUGGAUGUCGAAAUGGUGAUGGAUGAAAGUGCUCGAUUUGAAGCGUCCAUGUCUCGAUAUGACAAAAUAAGGAAUAAAGAUGCUCAUGUCGAACUUCAGAAUGCAUUAAUUGAUCAUUUGUGGGAGUAAUAUACAAAUUUCGAAUCUUGAAUGACAAUCUACUUUCACUUAAUUUAAAUUGAUGUCUAGGCAUAAGUUUUUGUAAUAUAUUAAUUAUGUAAUUUUUUUCAAGUUCUGUAAUUAUCUUUUAUUUAGUAAACAAUUAAUUUAGUAAUUUUUAUUUAUUUAUUAAUACUCGUAUUAUAAUCUAACAAUACCUUAUUCUGUUUAAAAAUAUUAAUUAUAAAGUUAUUAUGAUCUAACGUGGAAUUUUUAAAAAUAUAUAGAUGUGAUUGUAAAAGCAUAAAAGUUAAUAUGUGAAGAAAUAUAUAAAGACUAAAUUUGCGAGUUGGAGUAAAAUAAAAUUACUGUUUGAUGUAACAUAUACUGAAAAAUGGAUUAAUAUAGUUGAAGUAAAACAUCAAAAAAUGUAAAGAAGACACGUGGCUUAAUCUCCUCCCUCUUUGUUCGCGCCUUACUCUAUAAUAAAUAAGCUGCAGCGGUUACAAUAGAAUCAAGUUUCUCUCACACAUUCAACAACUCACAACUUGAGCGCCAUGGAUUCUACUUCUGAAAUUGGUAUGAUAACCCUUUCUGUUUCACUUUCUUGAUCCAUAUCUCUUCGUCUAUACUUCCACAUUUUGCACGGCUGCAUCCAUGUUUUAUGAUUUCUACUUCUUGCUAAAAAUGGCAGGUGCAUUGAUCAUCGAAGCUGGUGCUAGUGGAGACCUUAAAAAACUUAAAGGCGAUCAUCAUCAUCAUCAUGUCAUUGUAUUCUUACUUUUUUUUCCUUAGAUUUUCAUUUUUGUUGUGUGAUCGCAGAGAUGAGAAGGAAGGUUGGUGAUGACACAGAGUUGAGGAGAAUAUGUGAUGUAUACACUGACUUCUCCACAGGCCGGUGUGUGUUGCAUCACGCUGCUGAAAUCGGACAUUUUCAGAUUUGCAAAUUCUUGAUUCACAACCUCAAAGUCCACAUCGAUGCACGGACUUUCACCAGUUCUCUCUCUCUCUCUCUCUCUCUCUCUCUCUCACGUAUGUGUUUGGCCGUGUGAGAUAAAGAGCGGGGUUUUCUUUAUUUGGAUCCAUUUGUGUAUUUCCUUAAGGAUUAACACUGAUGCGCGCCACAAUCAUAAUUAGCGAAGAUAGAGAGAGAAUUAUGAUAUAUUAAUGUUGCAAACGGGAUGUGCGGGAUUUUUUGAUAUAAAUUAAGCAUAGGUUUGUAGAUUUUGGGUUUUGUGUUUGAAGGUUACGUGAGUUUAAUUUCUUUUUGGUGUUGUAUUGUUGUGUUGUUGGUGAGAUAAAUUUAGAGAUGAGGAAUGUAAAGGACAAGGAUGUGGAUUGGGGAGUUAGGAGAAUUAGAAGAGAAGGUGCAAGUGUAAAUGCAGAAUCAGGUUAUAGAGCAGUUGCUCCCCUGUUUGAAUUAGUGUGGUCGCCGCACACUGGUUUGACUCUCAAAUAUGCGAAUUUAGGGGCCGAUAUUAGGAAGCAAAAUCUGGUCGUUGCUUCACAACCGAAGCUAAGAUAAUGGGUGGUCAAAGCAGCAAUCGGCGGCGACAUCGCUGGUCGGCGGCACCAUUAUCUUGAGAUGGGGUUUUAGUCUAGCUAAGUUAUCUUGAGAUAAUGCCGAGGCUAAGUUAUCUUGAGAUGGUUGUUGGUUAUGAUUUUCAUUAUUUUUCUUCAUCUUGAAUAAUGAUGUGGAAUGGAAUAAGUUUAUAUCCAAUUUCCUUGUGUGGUGUAUGAUUUCUUCCUGCUGCAGUUAUUUAGUGUCUUUCACAAACGAUCACUUUUGUAUUGGUGCCAUGAGGCACUCUAAAAUGGCAUGAUUAUCAUAUGGUUACCUCCAAAGAUCAAAGCUUACAAAAAUUUCUCACUGUUAAUACCGCUGGAGUAUAAGCCGUCCGUCCAAAUUGGAUGCUAUCAUUUAUAAUUAUUUUAGUAUUAUUUUUAUAAUCAUAAUAUAUGAAAUAAUUAUUAUAUAAAUAUUUUCUAAUUUAUUAAUUUGAUCAAAUUAAAUUGGGGGUGCAUUUUACAUUAUAUUAAUCGAAAGUGAAACAUUAUAUUAAUCUCAAUAACUUUCGUUAAUUAAUUUUUGUUUGGGAUAUAAAACUACCUUAUUAAUUUUUUUUAGAGAAUGGAAUGUAGAUUUAGAAAAAUAAGAACAAGAAAAUAUGUAACUUUUUUUUUUAAAAUUAAUAGUAUUAAAUAAAGAAAUUUAAAGGCCGCGUCACAGGGGACUCGAACCUAAGAGUAUUAAAUAAAGAAAUAUUUUCUAAUUUAUUAAUUUGAUCAAAUUAAAUCAAAAUGAAUGUUUGACCUUUACAUACUAGACUUGAUGGUCGACACUCACACGCUCGAUAGAGCGUCGAGCAAUAGUUCAGUUGGAACUAUUGUUUGACACUCGAGCAUUAAGUAUCGAGCAUUGAGCGCAACCUAGAUCUGAGAGAGAAAGAGGCUCGAUUGCGCGGCGUGACGACGAGGCGCACCGGUGCAGCGUGGCGAAAGCACAUUGAGAGAGAGAGAGACAAACAGAGAGAGAUUUGUGGUGACGACAACACAUCUGUCUAAAGUGUGAGAAAGGUAGAUAGUCGGGGAGGCAAGGCGUGGGCGACGUAGUGAGGCAAAGAGGCGGCGAAGCAAGGUGAGACACGACCAUGACUAAGCUAAGCACAACGAGGCGGUGGGGCGAGGCGUGGGAGAGGUGGAGGCACAACACAAAGAAAGAAGGAGACAACAGAUUUGUUGAGAGAGAGAGAGAGAGGCACAGAGCCGGCGAGGCGCAACACGAUGUGGCAAGGUGAGAGGCAGCAGCAACAAGGCGAGGUGGAAGUGCGGUGCAACGUAGAGGAAGAGAGAGAAAGAGGAGCAAAUUUGCUUUUUCAAAAUUUCAAUUAUUUUUAAUCAUAUUUUCACUAAGGGUAUACAUAUCUUAAAUGGGUAUUAUAUGCGUUUUAGUUUGUGUGAGUAUUUUUUUUUCUUUUAUCUUUGAGAAUAAGUAAAAUCGUAUAAGCUACAAUUAACCUAAUAAUUUAUAUAGUUUCUACUUAUGUUAUCAGGACCGACAUACCUUUUGUUUUGGAUCAAAUUCCUCCCGAAAUAGCAAAAUUAUGGAUUAUCUGAUAACUUGAUCAGUGAUAACAAUGAAUUGUAGACAUUAUGAGACAUAAAAAUUCACGAGGAUGGAAAGCCAUCCUCAAUAUUAACUAGCACAUGCAUGUUCGUGCAAUGCAUGAUCAAUAUUGAAAUUAAACGACAUUUUAAAUAAAUAAAUAAAUAAAUAAACAUAUUAAAUAUAAUGUAAAUAUAAAUAAAUACAAACAUGAAUCUUAAUAAAAACAAAAUUGAAAUUAUCUACAACAUAAUUUCAAUAAAAAACAUGAAAUUAAAAAUAUAUAAAUUUUUAAUUUUUGAAAUACCAAUUAAUUGAUUUUCAUUUAUAAUGUGUAUAAAUAUAUAAAUUCACCAUCGAGUUUCAAUUAUGCUUACUUAUAUAAAUUCACCAUCAAAAGUAAGUAUAAAUAAUAAUGAGUAUCAUUAUAUAUCAUAUAUUCCCUCCAUCCCGUUCCAAUAGUCAUGUUUCUUUCGGCACAGAGAUUAAGAAACUUGCGUUUUGGAUGAAAAGUGGUGUUGUCCACUUUAAUUUAGCCAUUUAACUACAAUCCUAAUUUUUUUAUUAAUCCUCUUAAUUGAGUUAGUUCAUUUUACACUAAAUAUUUGAUUAUCCCUAAUUAAUUGAAUUUCCUGGUGACUAAAUAUUUAAAUAAAAUUAUGAAACAACAUGAAAUUCUUAAAAAGCAAUUAAACAAAUGAUAAGUAUUGAAACAGUAAAAAUAUUUUGGUUGACUUGAUUUAUAAUCUGGAACAUAAUUCAAAGUCUUACAUAAUCUGCCAAAAUAAAAAAGGGCGCCAGAACUAAAAAUUUCGGAACAUGUUCAAAUUUUCCUCAAUUCCUAUUCUAUAAGUACAACACCCUACUCUUCAUCAUUUUUCAGAUUGCAUUUGUUACUUUGUCUUCAAAAUUCUACAGCCAUGCACUUAAAGAAUGUGAGUGAGCAACAAAAACAGAUUAUUGUGCUAUUCCUUCUCUAAUACAGUAAAGAUGGCAAGCCUUUUUACGGCAAAAUGAAGGAAGCAGCUGCCAUGUUCAACGUAUGCACGCAAACCAUCACUCGUCUAUGGACUGCAACAAAAAAAACAAGCAAUUCAAGGUCAGGUAAUCAAUUUAACCACGAAGAAAAGAAAUGCACCACGAUUCACAAAGAGAGUUCAAAUAGAUUUAGCACAAAUUCAGAGUUUGGAUCGAUGUAGAAAAUGAACUACUCCCUCUGUCCGCCAAGAUUAUGUCACAAUUACUAUAUUGGGCGUCUGCCAAGAUUAUGUCACUUUCCUUUUAUGGCAAUGGUCCCACCAUCCUCUUUAAUAUUUUAUCCUUACUAACACUUUUUAUUUACAAAAAAACCUCUCAAAAUUCAAUCUCAACCACUCAUCUCAUAAAGUGGUGGGACCAUUUCUCCACUACAUCAAAAUCAUCACCAAUUUUAUUAAAUCUCGUGCCCAAACAAAUUGCCAUAAUCUUGGCGGGCGGAGGGAGUAUUAGGAAGCUAGCAGCGGGCAUAAAGUGUAUCAAGAGCAUAGUUGAAAGGUGGGUUCAACUAGGGCUAAUAAGAGCUUACACGAGUGCCAUUAAGCCAGAUCUUACAGCCCUCAAUAAGCACCUAAGGUUAAGUUUUUCUCUUAAGGCCUUAGAGUUUGAUAGACUUGCUAAUAUUAUGAAAUUUAAGACUAUGCACAACACAAUUCACAUAGAUGAGAAGUGGUUCUAUAUGACAAAAGCAUCACAUCGAUUCUAUCUCACACAAGAGGAGCCUGAACCACACAGGAGCUGCAAGAGCAAAAAAUUCAUCACCAAAGUGAUGUUCAUGUGUGCGGUUUGUGGACCCCUUAUUGAUGAGAAUGGAAACAUAAAAUUUGAUGGGAAAAUUGGAAUUUUCCCUUUUACACAAUCUGUACCAGCACAGAGAAAUAGUAAGAACAGAGAUGCAGGGACAUUAGAGACCAAGGUCUUGCAAUCCAUAACCAAGAUGAUGAUCAAAGAUUUCGGGACCUCCUCCGGCUCUUCGAUUUUUGGAACCACCGUCUCUACCGCGAAAGACUCAGGUACCGCCGUCCAUCCUUCCUCCUUCGCUGUUUCAUCGACGUAACACCAAGAUCUCUGAAAGAAUAGGAGCGAUAUGGAGAGACGGAGUCGGGAACAAAUCCACCGCUCAAAGGAGAGCCUUCAUCGGAAUCGACAUCUAGGAGGUCGGAAUCCAUCAAAAUCGACGGAGGGUUGCAGUACAGAGGUGGAGAGACGAAGAUUUCGGAGGUCAGAAAACCCUAGAGAGGUCGAAGGGCGCCGCUAGAGAGAGAAAGAAGCGAGGGGUCAGAUUUCACAAAAUGAAUAAAUAAACGGUGAUUAGGGUUUAGAUAAUUAAGUGUUAAGUUGGCUUUAAAUAAGGCAUUAGAUUUCUUAAUUAAUUCUGAAAAUAGAAACAAGACUAUUCUAGUGGGACGUUCCGAAAAGGAAAAUAAGACUAUUAGAGUGGGACGGAGGGAGUAAUAUUCUAAGAUUUUCAAAAGUAUUUAUUUGCAUAUAGUUUAAUACUCCCUCCGUCCACCAAAAAUAGUCCUAAAAGAGGACGGCACGAGUUUUAAUGAAAAUUGUUAAGAUAUUGUAAGUGGAGAAAGGAUCCCACUUAAAAAGUAGUAUAAUUGAUGAUAAUUAAUUUUAUUGUGAUUAGAGAAAUAGGGCCCACCAUGUGAGAGAAACAUUCCAAAAAUAGAAAGGGACUAUAUUUUGUGGACAUCCCAAAAUGGCAAAAAUGGACUAUUUUUUGUGGACAGAGGGAGUACCUCGUAUCAUUAUAUAUCGUAUAUUUUUGGAUUGCAUAUUUAAUCAUAUUUAUGUGGUCAUUUUAUUUAAAUACAAAUUUUAAACUAAAGUUUCUAUACAACAUCCAAAUAUUUGAUUUUGCACAAAAGACAUGAUUUGUUUUCUUUAAUAAAAUUGGUCAAUUUAUUAAGUUUUUUAUAAUAUUGAACAAUGAUAUUGCAUUAUUUUAGUUGGGGUUCGAUUUUAAUAAUAAAAAAAUUAUCUGAAAAAUGGUUCUAUCAGUGAGUCGUAAGUACAUACAUGCCAUGUAAUUUGAAACAAUUAUUUUUAUAUGCAUUAAAAGUUUUAUUUGUGUGUUUUACUGAUUUUUAUUAAUGGAUUAGCGGGAAAAAAAAAUAAAGGAUUGAAAAUGAGAUAUGUCUCGUUCAUUUUCAAAAAUAAAAUGUAUAUAAUUUAAGUAAAUCUGAAUAGAUAUGUUACUACAAAAUUAAACUCUUCCAUUUACUUUUUUUAAGAGAAUCAAUAAUGAUUCUCCAAUUAAUGAUUUUUCAAUGAAUCUUUUUUUUUUUCGCUUAAUAGAUAAUUGUCAAUCUAAUAUUAAAUUUAAUUAAGAAACAAAUGUUAAUGUAAAUAAAUAUAAAAAUCCAUAGAAAAACAUACUGAAAAUUUAAUAAAUCUAAAUCAUAUAUGAAAAUUUAUUUUUAAGAUAUAUAUAUAUAUAGUAUAAUAUUAUUCAUCUAUAAAUUUAUAUUAAUAUAAAUUCCACUUAAAGAAUUAUGUUUAAGUUAAAGAGUUCUAAAAUGAAUAAAUAUAAGUUUCAUAUUUCUAGUUGCAUUAAAUUGUUAUAAUAAAUACUCCCUCCGUCCCACGAAUCUUGAUGCAUAUUCAUUUUUGGGUCGUCCCACGAAAUGUUGAUGCAUUUCUAAAUAUAGUAACAAUUAGCUAAAAAAUAAGAGUUCUUAAUUUUACUUAAUUAUCACGUUUCUACUUUAUUACCUACACACUUCUACUUUAUCACUUUUCUACUUUAUUACCAACACACUUGAAACACCAAUCGACAACUCCUUAAUUCCCGUGCCAAAAAUAAAUGCAUCAAGAUUCGUGGGACAGCGGGAGUAAUAUAAAAAAAAAUAAUAAAAAAAUAAUAAAAUAAAUAUAGAAAAAUGAAUGAAGGAGAAAGAACCAUAAAAUUGAAAGAAAUGACAAAAGAGAAAGUAAAGAUGAGAGAGAAAAAAAAUUAAUUUUGUAACUUUAAAUGAUAAUAACUUAUACGUUUCAAAUUUAUUUUUUAUAAUUUUACAUCAAAUUAAAGAUCAUGAUCAAAUUAAAGAUCUUGUCAUGGUCUUUAGUUUAAUAUCCAUAUUUAAUAUCUUUUAUUAAUCAAAAUUGACGAUUUUUAAAAAAGAAUAAAAAAGAAAAAUGAAGAAGAAGAAAUUUUGGUGAAAAAAAGUUUACGUUAGAACUCCUCUUUUAUAUAUUAUAUUAAUUAAUUAUAUUGAUUGGAGUGCGGGUACUAAAUUGCAUAGAAUAAGAUGUUUCAUUUAAUUAUAUGUACUUUCUUGCUUUUGUUAUUAAUAAACAUGCAUAAGUAAUGUUUUUCAGAUUCCACCUGCAAUUAAAGUUAAGUGGCCCAUAGAUGAGAGCAAGCAUAUUUACAUACUACAAAACAAUGCAUAGCCACACAUCAAGGAUAAUUAAUGAUCCUAUUUUCAUAAAUGUAGCAAUAUACAAUGGAUUUUAUUUCGAGUUAGUCCAACAAAAUAAGGCAAGUGAAAGAAGGAAUUCAUAGCAAAAUAAGGAACCCACAGUAUAUAUUCUCAAAACAGAAAUCUAGAGCAUAAGCUGAAAUGCAGUUUAUAUGUUGAAGCUGAAGCUGUUGAUCGAACCUUUAGUGUUGAAAAUUAUAGUUGAUCAACAAAUCCUAGCAACGAUUUCAGUCAAACUUAGGAAACAGUUCCAGUAAAUGCAGUUUAUAAUCCCCCCCCCCAAAAAAAAAAAAACUAUAUUAACAAAAUAGAGCUUAUGUGAUCAUCAAAAUCCCCCCAAAAAACCCUUAUUUUCACAUGCAAUAGCAAUUAAUUCACAGUGAGCAAAAUCAUAUGAAUUAAAAUUAAACAUAAGCUCUAUCAUGAUUACCACAUUAAGAAAUAUAUAAUCUGAUGAGUCCAUUUUUGGUGGGUUGUUUUUAAGAAGAUUUACCUGUUGUGCGUUCAAGUAAAAGUUGAGAGCAAUUGCCGAGAAAAGUAAAGACUGUUGUAUUAGAAAUCACAUAAGUUACAUUGUGGUACAGUAGUUCUAUUUAUAAGGACGUACAGGGGGCAAAAUGGUAAAAUUGAGGUCGCAGCCCUGACCUACGCUAAGUAGGAGAAGUCCCUACAGCCCUGCCUCAUGCUUUUCAUUCUUCGUAGUAGACGUUGUUCUUCAGUUCAGUCGAGGUCAGCCCUGCCAACUUGAUUUCAGCCCUGCCAGUUUGAUUUUAGCCCAUCCCUAACCACAGCGUUGCCCUCAUGCUGUCGUAUAGAAUUAAUAUGGUCACGUUCCUGCAAGCUUUAUUGCAUGGUCUUCUCGUGGAGCCCCCGAGUUGACUUAUUCUCCCCGUUCCAAGGUCAGCGCUGAAUUUCCCGAGGCGGGGUAAUGCAUAUUUUACUCCUCAUCAUAAUCCAAUACAUCUAAGAAAACAUAAGCUCUAUCAUGAUUACCAAAUUAACAUAUUUGAUGGUAGAGAUAGAUAUAAUUACUUAUCGUUCAAAGUUUUCGAACUUUCGGUGAUAUUCGCGAAUGGAGUUGCAACUACAUAAGUUGAGGAAUGCUGAGAACUGGGCAAUGGUGGGAGCUUUCUGUGAACGGUGCGAUGUUAGAAGAAGAGAGGUGGAGGAAUUUAUUCGGAACUUUUUGUGAAUGCCGGCCAAUUAUUUUUUCUCUCUCUAUGGGCUUCUUAUUUUGCUCUGGCCCAUAUUUCAAUAUAAGUAUUUGGGUUUUGCUCACUAUGCAGAAUUAAUACAGAAUUAUCUGAAUAUGCGCACAAAGAAGAUAAUAGUUAGAAGUUAAUCUAAAAUGGACUUCAUACAAAAAAUGAGAAUGAUGAUAGAUUAUAUUUAAUAUAAGGAUUCCUCGCUUUUUUAUCUCAGGAUAAUUGUAUUGUAGCUUGAUUAGAAUCGAUGGUGAAUCCAUUCUUCAAAUAAGAUCAUAUAACACCAGUUAGAAAGUGGCAAAAUCAAGUAACAAAUAUAUUGGAAAAAUAUCCAAUAUUUACCAAAAUCAGGUAACAAAUAUAUUGGAAAAAAUCAGGCAAAAUUAGGUAACAAAAUCAGGUAACACAAAUACGAUGCAUUUUCUUCUGUAAAAUCCAAACAAAGAAAUAUAUUAACGAAGAGGUGAAAAUCAAAAUGCAAUUGUAGAUAUGAACAAUGACACGUCGAACGUGGUGAAAAUCUUUGGUUGUUGCUUGUGAUUUUGGUGACCUCGGUGAAUGUGUGUUGAUGAAGAAGACUUUGAGUGAAGAUGGAACAAGACUUUAAUUUGGGUGGCCUCGGUAAUGGUUUGUGAAGAAGAACAAUGAAUUUUGUUCUUUCUUGGUAGUAGUGAACUUAAUUACUUAGUACCAACCACAUUUGGUUAGUAAAUUUACUAUAUUGAAGUAAAUUCGAAAAAUGAAUAUAUAUUUGUUAUUGAAGUGUAUCUGUAUUUGAAAAUAAUUGUUUAUACUUGCUACUUAAUAAAUUUUUGUGCUUAAAAUAUAUAUUGAAGUAUAUAUGUGUUAUUUGGUACUUAAUAAUUUUUUGUCAUUAAAAUUUUUAUAGAUGGUGUGUAACAUUAUAGUUUUACAUUUCAAAAAAUUUAAAUAUUGAAGCUUAAAUUAUUUAUUUGAUUGAUGAGUCUAAUUAUAUAGUCUUUUUAAUUCACAAAACAAAAAUUUCAUUAUGUGUUAGUUUGAUUUACAAUUUUUUUUACUAAUAAGGGUAAUUAUAUAAUUUUCAAAUAAAUACAUAAUAAUAAAAUUAUUAUUUAUUUAAUAUAAUUACAUAAUAGCCCAAUUUCCUUGAGGCCAAUUGAGUAGCCCAAUUCGUUUGAGACCAACAAAGGAAACAGUUUGAAUCCAAUUUUCUUGAGCCUAAUUAAGGAUUUUAUUUAUGAAGCUAAGAAAUAGUAACUUUUUAAUUUAUGAAAAAUUUAAAUUUAUUUAUUUCGUUCAAAGCUCAAUAAAAUAAAUUAGUAGAACACUUUUUUUUUUUUCUGUUUAAAUGUGUUAUUUUGUUGUGGCUCAUUUUUUUAUAUAACUUAUUUUUGUUGUGGCGCAUAUGAAGAAUAAAUAUAUAUGAACUUAAUUAGGCUCAUAUAUUCAAUACAAUACUUCUAAAUGUAAUGUAAAUUAUCAAUUUUGUUUACUUUCUUUGUAUUAUAUUUUAUUAUACAUGACAAUAUUUCUCUGUAAAUUAUCAUUUUUUUUUAUAAAUACGUAAAUUAUCGGAAAGUGCGAAGCACGGGUUUAAUACUAGUUCAUUUAAUACCUUGGAAUUCCGAAAAGCGGGCGGCUAUGGGCGGCAGCGGACUAAUUACAACGCCAUUGCAGAGAAAUCCCUUUGAAGUCCCGUGCCAGAGCAGCGAAGUCCCGCGCCAGAGAAGUCUCGUGCCAGCGAAAUCCCGUGCCAGAGUAGUCUCGUGCCAUAGCAGCGAAAUCCCGUGCCAGAGCAGCGGAGUCCCGUGCCAGAGCAGCGAAGUCCCUUGCCAGUGCAGCGAAGUCCGAUGACAGUGCAGCGUAAUCCCGUUCCAGAGCAGCGAAGUCCCGAUGCCAGAGCAGCGGAGUCCCGUGCCAGAGCAGCGAGGUCCCGUGCCAGUGCAGCGAAGUUCCGUGCUCCAAAGCUGAUACUCCAGAGUUAACACUCCUGAGCUGAGUUUCCAGAGUCUUUAUGUGUGCUGAAAACUCCAGAGCUGUAUAGUUAUCGCUCCAAGAGUCAUCACUCCAGAGCUAUCAUUCCAGAGCUGAAGAUUCAGAGAUGAGCCCCAGAGCAGAAGUUCCGGAGCGGAAUUGUACUUCCUGACCUAUAGCUCCAGAGCUGUAGUGCCAGAGUCGAUGCUCCCAACAGCUGUUGUUCCAGAGCGGUGGUUCUAGCGCUCAAGCUAUUAAGCUGAUACUCCAGAGCUUAAGCCCCAUAGCUGCUGAUCCAGAGUAGAAAUUCCAAAAUUGCAGGCCAAUGCAAGCGUUCCAGAUCAUUUUCAUGCGUCGUCUUGAAAAUUUCUAUGGGUUCACAAAUAAAAUUCCGUUUGGCCAUUAUCAAAGGAAAGUAGUAGCAUAAUGAAAACAGCAAAAUGAAAUAUGGGUUCACAAAUAAAAUUCCGUUUGGCCAUUAUCAAAGGAAAGUAGUAGCAUAAUGAAAACAGCAAAAUGAAAUAUGGAGCACAUGAAAAGCCAGAAGUUGAAAUACGAUGCUGCAAUCAAUGGCAGAGAAAAGAAGGGUACAAAGAUUAGAAGAACAUGAGGAAAGUAAUAGGGUCUUGAUUCAUGGAACAUAAAUCGCUNNNNNNNNNNNNNNNNNNNNNNNNNNNNNNNNNNNNNNNNNNNNNNNNNNNNNNNNNNNNNNNNNNNNNNNNNNNNNNNNNNNNNNNNNNNNNNNNNNNNNNNNNNNNNNNNNNNNNNNNNNNNNNNNNNNNNNNNNNNNNNNNNNNNNNNNNNNNNNNNNNNNNNNNNNNNNNNNNNNNNNNNNNNNNNNNNNNNNNNNNNNNNNNNNNNNNNNNNNNNNNNNNNNNNNNNNNNNNNNNNNNNNNNNNNNNNNNNNNNNNNNNNNNNNNNNNNNNNNNNNNNNNNNNNNNNNNNNNNNNNNNNNNNNNNNNNNNNNNNNNNNNNNNNNNNNNNNNNNNNNNNNNNNNNNNNNNNNNNNNNNNNNNNNNNNNNNNNNNNNNNNNNNNNNNNNNNNNNNNNNNNNNNNNNNNNNNNNNNNNNNNNNNNNNNNNNNNNNNNNNNNNNNNNNNNNNNNNNNNNNNNNNNNNNNNNNNNNNNNNNNNNNNNNNNNNNNNNNNNNNNNNNNNNNNNNNNNNNNNNNNNNNNNNNNNNNNNNNNNNNNNNNNNNNNNNNNNNNNNNNNNNNNNNNNNNNNNNNNNNNNNNNNNNNNNNNNNNNNNNNNNNNNNNNNNNNNNNNNNNNNNNNNNNNNNNNNNNNNNNNNNNNNNNNNNNNNNNNNNNNNNNNNNNNNNNNNNNNNNNNNNNNNNNNNNNNNNNNNNNNNNNNNNNNNNNNNNNNNNNNNNNNNNNNNNNNNNNNNNNNNNNNNNNNNNNNNNNNNNNNNNNNNNNNNNNNNNNNNNNNNNNNNNNNNNNNNNNNNNNNNNNNNNNNNNNNNNNNNNNNNNNNNNNNNNNNNNNNNNNNNNNNNNNNNNNNNNNNNNNNNNNNNNNNNNNNNNNNNNNNNNNNNNNNNNNNNNNNNNNNNNNNNNNNNNNNNNNNNNNNNNNNNNNNNNNNNNNNNNNNNNNNNNNNNNNNNNNNNNNNNNNNNNNNNNNNNNNNNNNNNNNNNNNNNNNNNNNNNNNNNNNNNNNNNNNNNNNNNNNNNNNNNNNNNNNNNNNNNNNNNNNNNNNNNNNNNNNNNNNNNNNNNNNNNNNNNNNNNNNNNNNNNNNNNNNNNNNNNNNNNNNNNNNNNNNNNNNNNNNNNNNNNNNNNNNNNNNNNNNNNNNNNNNNNNNNNNNNNNNNNNNNNNNNNNNNNNNNNNNNNNNNNNNNNNNNNNNNNNNNNNNNNNNNNNNNNNNNNNNNNNNNNNNNNNNNNNNNNNNNNNNNNNNNNNNNNNNNNNNNNNNNNNNNNNNNNNNNNNNNNNNNNNNNNNNNNNNNNNNNNNNNNNNNNNNNNNNNUAGCAGCUAUGGAGUGGUGGAGAGUGGGCGAAUGAAUUCCCGAUCCUUCAAAUGCAAAGGUCUUGCCAGUCGGGCAGACCCUGACCAAUCAUACUGCUGAUGCAGUAUUCCCUUGACCACCUACUGUAUCUCCACCGGCCCCACCUACACACUUUGCUUCGCAAAGUGGGUUUUGAUCUUCAAUGCAUAGGGUCCAGCUCAACUCUUCUGCAUGGUUAGUCCUCCAAGAAACACAAAACACAAGGAAAAUAAAAGAAACAUGAAACAAAGCAGUAAUGGUCAUACCAGCGACCUUAUUCUGGGUUGCCUCCCAGUCAGCGCUCUUGUUUAUUGUCUCGAGCUCGACGCUGUCCACUCCUUCAUGCAAAAUAAGGUUCUACGAGAAAACCUUUCUCCAUCAUCGGUAUGCCUGGAUCAUAGACUCGCUUUCCAAUUUCCUUUCUCACUCCAGCACUACCGUAUGCCUUGCUCCAUUCCUCAUGAUCUUGUUGCAUCUUUUGCUCAACUUCAUCUUUUGAUCGAGAUGGUGCAGCCUCAUUUCCUGGGAUUUCCUGGCUGAGUUCCUCCAAAAAAUAUGAUUCCAGCCACUCUUCUUGUUUGGCAGCAUCAGUAAGAUCUUUCAGCAACUCCUUCUCUGGUAUGACCGCCACCACAGAUUCUGACUUUCCAGCCUUUUCCAUUCUUGCCUUCUUUCCAAAUGGCUGGCAUUUUGAGUUAGUGGCCGUUUUUGAUUAUUUGCUUUCUCCAAGAUAUUCGGCCAAGGCGGUGCGGUAGUUGGCAGUUUCUGGGUAAUCUCCUCUGUAUGGGCUUCUCUGACAGAUUCUUCAGAUGCCGGUAUGCAUUUUCCGAUUGAUUUAACUGCAGUGCCUGGCAUCUUGGGCAUACUGACAUGCCGAUUUUCUGAAUUAUUCUCCUCUUGCAGUGUUGCUCCCUCAGCUUCUUCGGUCAGAUCGAUCCCAGCCUUUGAUUCAGACUCGAAGAGUUCAACAUCCUUAGUUAUUGCUCCUAUUAACUCGUCCCAAGUUGGUUCUUCUUGUGGUUUUGGUAGGGACGGGGGUGUCUGUGGUAUGCCAUGUACUGGAAGCAGUUGUUGAUUCUUCCAUUCUCCAUAUCCCCAUUGGGAACUUGGAUCUUCACUCCAUUCAACGUUGUAAGAGUGAGAGAAUGGAUCAUACUUCUCGUGCUGGUCAUCAUUUUCUCCUAUGGCAACAUCUUCAAUUGGUCCAACCCCUUGGGAGAGAGGGUAUCCAUCAAUCUGAUGCUCAGUCAUGUGGUCUGGGCCACACUGACGAACAUUCUCCGGUGUGAUCAAGAUUGCUACGAGUUGUUUGAGCUCCAUGAUCUCCUUCUUCAACUCGUUGAGGUUGCCAUUCUCCACAUUCUUUGGUACUUCCAGAUUGCAUUCAUAUGCUCCCAACUCCGUGGCCAUACAUUUAAUGACUUGCAAAACAUUUUUGGGCGUCUUGUCAAACAUCGAACCUCCACAUGCCGCAAUAACGAGUUUUCUCUCGUACUUCUUGAGUCCCGUUAUGAAGUGCUCCACCAAAUUAUAUUCAGGAAUUUGAUGGUGUGGGCAUUCUUCCAAUAACCCUUUGAAUCGGCUCCAAAACUCGUUCAAUGAUUCGAGCUCUCCUUGUUUGAUGUUCUGUAUGAUCCGCCUCAUACUGAAGACCUUUGCUGCUGAGUAAUACCUCUCCAGGAACUUUUGUUGCAUCUCAGCCCAUGUGGUCACACUGCCAGCGGUCAAGCCAUAAUACCAUUUCCUUGCACUACCUUGUAGUGUGAAAGGAAACAAUAGCAACCUGAUGUAUUCUCCCAUGGACAACUGGUUAUCCUCCGUAGAGCAUAUCAUCUCAAAGUCUCGGAGAUGUGUGAUUGGAUCAUCUUCAAGCAUGCCAUGGAAUUUUGACAUGAGUUGGAUCAAGUCUGUCUUCAGCUCAUACCGACCUUCGAUGGUCGGUAAGGUUAUACCGCUCGGCUUCAGGUUCAGGUCAGCCGGGAAUGCCAACUGACGCAUGGUCUGCGGGGCAGCAAUUACCAUCCCGCGUCUCGCCGUACUGCGUUGCACAGUAAGCGGAAGAUGAAAACUGAAGAGUAAAAUUGUUGCGCGUCACUCCCCGGCAACGGCGCCAAUUUGAUACGACGCGCGCGCCCGUUGCCCGGCGUGCAGUAUCAAAAUAAUUUAUGUAUGCCCUAGACGGACAGUACACCCUCCUAUUGCUCGCAACCAAAGAACAGUCUUAGCAGCAAGUAUAGGGUCGAUCCCACGGAGAGUGAGGAACUACUUUACUCUUCGGGUGCACAAACUGAGUUGUCACAGUCUCAAUCUGUAUAAUCUGCACAAUUAAACUUAAACAAAGAUCAAAUAUAACAAGGGGUGAGGUUUACGGUUAGGUCAUAACUGUUGUCAAUAUUUAUUUCGGUCAUAGGCAUACUAAUGAUCCGUCCAUGAUCCAUAUAAACUCAAGGCGUGGCCCAAAGACAUUGGGGCAUUUCAAGAGGCUAUACUUCACACUUAGGAUGGUUGAGUCCAUUGUAGUCACUUGGUCCGAAGGUCACACAUUCCCCGGUCGCAAGGCAGUGCUUCACUCCUCCUUAGAUAGUAGUCAUACCCGUUACUCACCAAGUAUGACCCUCACCAACCUUCUCUCCCGAGGUCCCCAACUCCGCACUUUGAGUGACACAUGCUGUUCGCAAUUAUUUUCACCACGCCGCAAGUAUACGGUGUAGUUGCAAUAUAAGGGAAGCAAGGUCGUAUCCCACAAGGAUUGGUGAAUUCAAACUUCUAAAUACCAUUAAUAAGUUGUUUUCAAUCUAUUUAGACAAACCAAAGAUGAAGAGAUAUUGAGAACUAAAACAAAGCUAAAUAAAGCAAGUAAAUAAAUAACAAUAACAUAAACUUAGUGAAUAAAUUGGGGAAUGACUCGAAUGAAAGUUAUCCUAGGGACUAGAUUUCGAUGGAUCGUAAUGAACUUCAAUCUAAAGCAAUAUUAAUCUUGAUAUGGCCUACUUAUCUAGGGCGAUCUCCCCACUAGUUUUAGCCCCCUCCCGGACGACUAAAACAGUAGAUUACGGGUCAUAAUUGCCGUCCCCGGUCAAUUUCUAACCUAUAACUCCCAAGAGCACAAAAGAUCAACAAGCCCUCACCCAACUCUCAACCUCCCGGUUUAUUGAGAUGAUAUGUAUCAAACUCCUAAUCUAUUGUAAUUAUCCUCUCCCGAUUCAAAUCACAAAUUAGAAAUGCACAAAAGGUGGCCAACCAAUCAUACAAGAGAUAAAUCUAGGACUUGAAAAGAUAACAAUAAGCACAAUCAAGAUAUAUAUUGAACAAAGAAAUCAAUCCAUUACAAAUCCAUCUAAUCUAAUCCCUAAGAUAAGAGAUUUUAGCCAAGCAUAUUCAUAAUAAAAGCAAAUCUCAAGUCAUAAGAAAACAUAAAUAAAGAUAUAGAGAGAUAGAGAUUCAUAGACAAAUCCUAUAAUCUUGAUCUUCAAUCAUGUAGUCUUGAUGAGCUCCUUUCCAAGUCUUCCCCUUCUUUAUUUGAUUUUGGUGUUGUUUUUGUGUGUGGAAGAGAGAAAAAAUGGUAGAGAAUGGAGGCUAGGGUUUGGAAUUGGAGAGUUGGGGAAGAUGAAGUGGGUGUGUGUGGUGAAUGAAUGGGGAAAAGAAGAGAAAAAUGGAGUUUUGAGGCUAAAAUCGCGUUUGGGGUCCACUUUGGGGGAGCCCCGCCCUUUUCCCGCGGUCACGGCCCGCGUCCGCGGCCUUCAAACGUGGGGGAUGCUCAGGGGACCCGCGGUCCCGCCCCGCGGCCGCGGGUGGUGACCGCGGGUGUCUCCUGAGUCGGGAACAGCUGACCCGCGGUCUUACCCCGCGGCCGCGGGUGGUGACCGCGGGGUACUGGGCGUUUUGCACAGUCCGCUCGUUUUGCUCCGUUCUCCCUCGUCCGGACUCGGAUUUGGUCGCCGUUUGCGCUCACGGAUUCCUCUCGAGACGUACUUCAAUAUAAUAUCUUCAAAAUCCUCCAAUUAAUCCUUGAUUUUUCCUGAAAUUACUCCAAAACUACACCAAGACAUCAAAUCUUCAUAAAACUCAACAUUAUGGUACAAACACGCAUUGGCAAGCAAAAUAUGAAGGGAAAUGACAACAAAUCAUGUGGAAUUGAGGUACGAAAACCAUGUUUGUCACAUGCCUCCUGGACACAACCAUUUCCGGCUUUGUCAGCCGACCAGUCAUAGACAUGCUACGGCGCCGAGAUUGCUUUCCUCGUUUGAUAACCAUGGCUUGAUGCCUCGUCACAGUUGAUGGAUGGUCUCUAGAGAAGCCCAAGACUGAGGAAGGACAGUGUAUCCCAUCAAUCCUUUCCCCACCUUCCGGAUCUACAACGCCUUUUGUUGACGUUGCUCAGCUACUCGGUCUUGGGUAUACCGGUUGUCACGCCCUGGUAUACCCUGGCCUUUGCUUGACACGAACAGCGUUUUACCGAACGGAGAUCACCCGUUAGGCCCCUACUGUCCAUGGUUUGGCACAGAUCCGUCUGGAACCACGAGACUCAACCGAAAGAACAAAUGCCUCACGAAUGUUUACAUAUUGACAACAAUUAUUUCCACCCCUUAAACCUCACCAAGGGAACUACUCACACAUAAUGGAAAACAUAAAUGCAAAAUAAAAUAAACACAUGAAUGAAAGGAAAUUUGAAAUACUUGAUAUAAAAAUACCUAAGGCAACAACCUUGGCUUUGUUCGUCACAACGGAAUUGAAAUACGAAAAGCAACUAAAUUGUUUGGUGCGAAAAAUAUAAAAGAACUAAAAGUAAAUUGUUUUCUUGGUGAACUAACAAAAGUCUAAGUCUAGAAGAGCACUAAAAACUGAUGUGUAAGUGUAAAAAUUCGUUCAUCCAAAACUGCUGUCAAACUCCUGUCAAACUCUUUGUAAAACUGCCCUCUGCCAGCCACAUAUGCUGAGGUCUAUAUAGCAGUUCGGUAAACCCUAGCCAGCAGACCAAAUCUGGCAGAUUAUUUCCUUCCAUAUUUAGCUUGAUCCUUGAUUUGAUUUGAUAGAUAAUGGAUCUCCAGCGGAUUUGGGGUUGAUUCCACAUUAUUCCAGAUCCUUCCAUUGCUAGAAUUCGCCAGAAUCUUCCAUGCAAUCUCCUCCACACGUCUUUCCAUAUAUAGCUCCAGCUGCUGACUGCUGUUGACGGGAAUGGUCAUACUAGCUUCUUUCUUCGGUUGGCCUCAUACCAGGUGGUACACUUCGAACGUUCCCGCGCCUCGAAUGGUUCUGAGGGGUACUUCGUCGAGCUCUCUUCCUGGUUCAUAUAUAGCCCAUCUGUGCUGACUGCGACUGUUGUUAUGGCCUUACCAACUGCUUCCUUCGGUUAGCCUCACACCAGGUGGUACACUUCGGAGAUUCCCGCGCCUCGAAUGGUUCUGAGGGGUACUUCGCCGAGCUCUCUUCCUGGUAAGUUUCACUUCUGGAAGUUUGGAUAGUUUUGUUCCGGUAAUGCCCAUUCUGACCAUAUUUCGUGCAUAUGCCCUGGACUGAGCCUUCUUCCUCCUGAAUACCUGUUUUCUCUCCUAGAGGACUCAAACAAAACAAAAGAAAGAGAAAAAUAGGGCCAAAUGGCCCAAAAGUCGAAGAUGCAUCAAUCCACAGGCUGCCCAAAGCCCUGCCCCUCCCUCGACAGAUCCGGCGGGGGCGAAGGACAGAUCCGACGAAGGGCGAAGGACAGAUCCGGCGGGGGCGGCAGGNUUUUCAUUUAAUUCUGCCUAGGGUUGUAAUGGUUUAUUUAUGCAUGAGUAUUUAUGUUUUGUUCUUUUCUGCCUAGUUAAUGGUAUUUUUUGCCUAUUUAUUUGUUUUUUUCUGCCUAGUUAAUUUUAAGUUUAAGUUUUAAGUUGAGUUUUAAUUACAAGCAUUAGUUUAAUUCUUUUCUGCCCAGUUAAUUCUUAAGUUUAAUUUCAAGUUAAGUUUUAAUUCCAAGCUUUAGUUUAAUUUUACUACUUUCAAACGACAAUCUUUACCGCUUUCUUGUGAUACAAUUAGAAGCCCUGUAAGAUCUUCCUUGAGAGACGACUUUGGGUCAACUUACCAUUGCUAGAGUGUCCUUGUCUUAUUGCAAGUCAAUCUAGAGGUGUUUUAGGUUGAGUCAACUAUUGCUUUGAUUUAUCAUAGGUAAGAGUUCUCUUGAAGCUCAAUAUACUCGAUUCUUUAGGUGAUAACAAUUAUUAUUUGACAUGCGAUUAUAUUGCAAUAAGGAUACGUGUCCUACUAAUAACAGGAUGAUAAUAUCCUCUUGAGGAACUUAAUAAGUUUAUCGUAUUAAACCCUGUAGGUGGAAUUAGUUCCAAUACGAUAAUAAGUUUAAGUGGUAGCACUCGAGAUGUCGUUUAUAAUUAAAUGACCGAUUAAUUAAUUAAUCAAUCAUCAGAUGAAUUAAUUAAUUACUCGAUCUUCAAAUGAAUGAAUUAAUUAAUUAAUGGAUAUUAGAUAUCUUAAACACGGGGAUUAAUUAAGUCUAAUGCUAGCCCCGACUCACCUAAGGAAUAAAGAGGUAAUUCAGUAUUAAUUUUCUAGUGGAUUAAAUUAAUACUUGUGUAUCGAUUUUAUUUUGGGCUGAAUAAGAAAAUCGAGCACUGGGAGGCCAGACUUUAUUCGAGCUAGUAGAUCUCCGCUUGGCCCAAUAAAGGCGUAAUUCCAUAAGGGGGCGUCUGAUGGGACGCGCGCGCCCAUCGCCCGGCGCGCGGUAUCAAAAUAAUUUGUGUAUGCCCUAGACGGACAGUACACGCUCCUAUUGCUUGCAACCAAAGAAUAGUCUUAGCAGCAAGUAUAGGAUCGAUCCCACGGAGAGUGAGGAACUACUUUACUCUUCGGGUGCACAAAUUGAGUUGUCACGGUCUCAACCUGUUUAUCUGCACAAGUAAACUUAAACAAAGAUCAAAUAUAACAAGGGGUAAGGUUUACGGUUAGGUCAUAACUGUUGUCAAUAUUUAUUUCGGUCAUAGGCAUACUGAUGAUCCGUCCAUGAUCCGUAUAGACUCAAGGCGUGGCCCAAAGACAUUGGGGCGUUUCAAGAGGCUAUACUUCACACUUAGGAUGGUUGAGUCAAUUGCGAUCACUUGGUCCGAAGGUCACACAAUCCCCGGUCACAAGGCAGUGCUUCACUCCUCCUUAGAUAGUAGUCAUACCCGUUACUCACCAAGUAUGACCCUCACCAACCUUCUCUCCCGAGGUCUCCAACUCUGCACUUUGAGUGACACAUGCCUCCUGGACACAACCAUUUCCGGCUUGUUAGCCGACCAGUCAUAGACAUGCUACGGCGCAGAAGUUACCUUCCUCGUUUGAUAACCAUGGCUUUAUGCCUCGUCACAGUUGAUGGGUAGUUUCUAGAGAAGCCCAAGACUGAGGAAGGACAUUGUAUCCCACCAAUCCUUUCCUCACCUUCUGGAUCUACAACGCCUUUUGUUGACGCUGCUCAGCUACUCGGUCGUGGGUAUACCGGUUGUCACGCCCCGGUAUGCCCUGGCCUUUGCUUAACACGGGCAGCGUUUUACCAAACGGAGAUCACCCGUUAGGCCCCUACUGUCCAUCGUUUGGCACAGAUCCGUCUGGAACCACGAGACUCAACCGAAAGAACAAAUGUCUCACGAAUGUUUACAUAUUGACAACAAUUAUUUCCACCCCAUAAACCUCACCAAGGGAACUACUCACACAUAAUGGAAAACAUAAAUGCAAAAUAAAAUGAACACAUGAAUGAAAGGAAAUUUGAAAUACUUGAUAUAAAAAUACCUAAGGCAACAACCUUGGCUUUGUUCGUCACAACGGAAUUGUAAUACGAAAAACAAAUAAAGUGUUUGGUGCGAAAAAUGUAAAAUGACAAAGUAAAUUAUUUUCUUGGUGAACUAACAAAAGUCUAAGUCUAGAAGAGCACUAAAAACUGAUGUGUAAGUGUAAAAAUUCGUGCAUUCUCCUAAAACUACUAAAACUCUAAAAACUGCCCUCUGCCAGCCACACAUGCUGAAGUUUAUAUAGCAAUUCGGUAAACCCUAGCCGGCAGACCAAAUCUGGCAGAUUAUUUCCUUCCAUAUUUAGCUUGAUCCUUGAUUUGAUUUGAUAGAUAAUGGAUCUCCAGCGGAUUUGGGGUUGACUCCACAUUAUUCCAGAUCCUUUCAUUGCUAGAAUUCGCCAGAAUCUUCCGGGCAAUCUCCUCCACACGUCUUUCCAUAUAUAGCUCCAGCUGCUGACUGCUGUUGACGGGAAUGGUCAUACUAGCCUCUUUUUUCGGUUGGCUUCAUACCAGGUGGUACACUUCGAACGUUCCCGCGCCUCGAAUGGUUCUGAGGGGUACUUCGUCGAGCUCUCUUCCUGGUUCAUAUAUAGCCCAUCUGUGCUGACUGCGACUGCUGUUAUGGCCUUACCAACUGCUUCUUUCGGUUAGCCUCACACUAGGUGGUACACUUCGGAGAUUCCCGCGCCUCGAAUGGUUCUGAGGGGUACUUCGCCGAGCUCUCUUCCUGGUAAGUUUCACUUCUGGAAGCUUGGAUAGUUUUGUUCCAGUAAUGCCCAUUCUGACUAUAUUUCAUGCAUAUGCCCUGGACUGAGCCUUCUUCCUCCUGAAUACCUGUUUUCUCCCCUAGACGACUCAAACAAACACAAAGAAGAGAAAAAGUAGGGCCAAAUAGCCCAAAAGUCGAAGACGCAUCAAGGGCGAAGGCGAAGGACGGCUUCCUCCCUUGACAGAUCCGGCGGGGGCGAAGGACAGAUCCGGCGAAGGGCGAAGGACAGAUCCGGCGGGGGCGGCAGGUGAGGGCGAAGGGCGAAAGGCGGCUUCCUCCGACGACGAGCAGGGGAAAGGCAAGUGGAGGAGAAGGCUUCCUCCGGCGACGAGGAAAACGACGACGGUGGAGACUCAGGCGCAGAGAGAGACGAGAGAAAUAGAGAAAUAGAGAGAAAGAGAGAUAGAGAGAGAGAUAGAGAAUAGAGGGGAAAUCAAUUAAUUAAGGGUUUAUUAGUUGAAUAAUUAGUGAUCUCAUUUAAUGUUAAGCAUCCCCUUAUUAUUUCCUUUUUAUGAAACGGGACAUUAUCGGUGGGACAACCCAAAAAGGAAAAUGAGACUUGAAUAGCGGGACGGAGGGAGUACUUAGUACCAACCACAUUUGGUUAGUAAAUUAUACUAUAUUGAAGUAAAUUCGAAAAAAGAAUAUAUAUAUUUGUUAUUGAAUUCAGCGUAUCUGUAUUUGAAAAUAAUUGUAUAUACUUGCUACUUAAUAAAUUUUCGUGAUUAAAAUAUAUAUUGAAGUAAAUAUGUGUUAUUUGGUACUUAAUAAUUUUUUGUCAUUAAAAUUUUUAUAGAUGGUGUGUAACAAUUAUAGUUUUACAUCACAAAACAAAAAUUUCAUUAUAUGUUAGUUUGAUUUACUAUUUAAUUUUUUUACUAAUAAGGGUAAUUAUAUAAUUUUCAAUUAAAUACAUAAUAGUAUAAUUAUUAUUUAUUUAAUAUAAUUACAUAAUAGCCCAAUUUCCUUGAGGCCAAUUGGGUAGCCCAAUUCGUUUGAGGCCUACAAAGGGAAUAGUUUGAAUCCAAUUUGCUUGAGCCUAAUUAAGGAUUUUAAUGAUGAAGCUAAGAAAUAACUUUUUAAUUUCUAAAAAGUUUAAAUUUAUUUAUUUCAUUCAAAGCUCAAUAAAAUAAAUUAGUAGAACACUUUUUUUUUGUUUAAAUGUAUUAUUUUUUUGUGGCUCAUUUUUUUAUAUAACUUAUUUUUGUUGUGGCACAUAUGAAGAAUAAAUAUAUACGAGCUUAAUUAGGCUCAUAUAUUCAAUACAAUACUUCUGAAUGUAAUGUAAAUUAUCAAUUUUGUUUAAUUUCUCUGUAUUAUAUUUUACUAUACAUUACAAUAUUUCUCGGUAAAUUAUCAAAAAAAAAUUAGAAUCCUAUAGUACUUCUACUAUACAUUAUAAAUACGUAAAUUAUCGGGCCUGCGAAGCAUGGGUUUAAUACUAGUACUACAAAACAAUGCAUGGCCACACAUCAAGGAUAAUGAUCUUAUUUUCAUAAAUGUAGCAAUACACAAUGGAUAUUAUUUCGAGUUAGUCCAACAACCCCCCAAUUCACCAGACACUAAUGUGAAUGACUUGCGGUGGUUUAGGGUCAUCCAAUCCAUUUCAAACAAAAACAGUAUGCUACACAAUGGAUCAAUUGAUUCAUGUUCUUGAUUAGUCAAUUGUUCAGCUUUUUCCAAUAACACUCAACAAUGUGUUCUUGCCAUUACAAGGUUGUAUGCUUGAAAUCAUGAAAGUGAGACGUGAGAACUGUUAUAAACUUCCACAUAUGAAGAAUGACUCACUUAUAAGGACAUGAACACUUCCAUUAAUUUUAAAAGUACAUGGAGAUUUGGUUAGACAGUUCUAACCUAUUUAGUUGAAAGAGAAAACAUAUAUAAAUGGAAUUUACACACUUAGCAAUAUCUUAGGUAUUGUUAUGAAUGAAGGUAGAAUUCAAGAGGAAGGGUGGUAAGCACUGUAAAAGGAUGUCAUUCUUUUGUAGAUAAGUUUAUGCUUAUGAAACAUGUAUAGAUAUGCACAUGUUUCAGAUGUAAACUUAUGUUUUGUAGGUUAGAGUCUGAUGACAUUUUGUAAAUCGACGAAAACAUGAUUUUGUAUGAUGCAUCCAUAAUGCAACGACAUUUAAUUUACCCUUAUAUGCAUUUAUCAGGAGCAGACAAACGAGAUUAGGCACCUCAAGAUUUAAAACCACAUCACAGGUAGCCAAACACCAAGAACAUCACAUGCAACUAACACCUUGUGCUAAUCGAAAAUCACAGGCAACCUGCUGCCUCAAACACCAACAAACAAAAUCAUAGAAACAUUAAUAAACAAAAUCACAGGAAGCCAACUACCUCAAACAUCAACAAAAUCACAAGCAGCCUACUGCCUAAAACACCAACCAAAUCACAGUGAACCACCAAAAAAAUCAAAUGCGAGCAUAGUCUUAUCAUUUCGGCACAAAUGAUCCAUUUCCUACAUAUAACUACUACAUGCAAACAUCAUCAAGAAACACACAAGAUUAAUUAGGGAAAUAUUUAACUAGGUUAAAUAAUUUUGGAAGAUAAAUCUGCAACAUCAUCUUCACCGAGUCUCUCUCCGUCUCCCCCGAACAACCAUUUCCAUUUGAAGAAAGAGAGGUCAGUCUCUCCGGUAGUAGACAAGAGCGCUUAACCCCUCCCACUACAGUUCUUUAGCUUCGGCCUCCUCUGCCCAUUACCAAGUCUCACUCCAUCUCCCACGAAUAGUCAUCGCCACCAGAGAAAGGCGAAUCAUUCUCAACGAUUGUCGUUGCAUUAAUACUUUCUUCAUUCGUUGUAUGCAACAACGCUACGUUCGUUGGCGAUUUCGACCUUGAUGAUUGUUUGUAUUCAUCAUAAAUCUCCAAUUUUAGGGUAAUUUUUUUUUGUAGAUCUCAUAUUUUGACAGAAAAGAUUAGGGAUGGAGACCUAGGGCCAACCCUUCUAUAUGCCAAAAGGGGCAAAGGCCUAGGGCCCCCAAAGUUGAGGGGCCCCAAAUUUUAAAAAUAAAUUCAUUAAUUAUAAUAUAUUUUGUAUUAAUCAUAAAAAAAUUAUUAUAUAGCAAUCUUGAAUUGAUUAUAAUAAAAGAAUAUAUCUGCAUUGUGCUCGUCUCCUAUGUUUUACUAUCUCAUCUCACACUUUAUUUUUUUCAUGUUUUAUUUUUUUCUUGUUAGAUAAGAAAUGUUAAAUAAGUUAUAAAUUUUAUGCACUGAAAAUAAGGUAUUAGAGAAACUUAAUCUUGAGAUAACAAGAUUUUUGAAGUUUUAUUUUUUAUGGGCCCUUUUUUUGUUUCGCUUAGGGCCCUCAAAAUCUCAAGACCCGGCCCUGUGGUUGUGGAGACCCCGACAUAGAAUGACGGUGAUUUCUUGAUGCCUUGAGAUAUAGUGAGGGAGAAGGGAGUAAGGAGUUGCACGAUAAUAUCCUAAUUAUGGUUUAACAUUAAUUCGAUCUUGGGCCUUAAUUUUGAUUGUAUUAGGUCAUAAUUUUUUUAAUUGAAAUAUUAUAAAUGAGAUAAUUCAAAAUAAAAUCGAGACAUUAUUAAUGCAACGGAAAAUGAGUACUAUCAGAUUUAUCACCAAAGUUGAAUGAAGAAGUGACAAAACUGCUAACAACAGAAAGAAGAGAGGGUAAAUUAAGAUAUUAUGAGAAGGUGGGGACUAUAUAACAAAUUUGUGCAGCUAUGAGCUAUGAGAUUGGCAGCACUAAACCCUUGUAAUUCCUCGACGUCGAUCUUCCGCUCUCCACCGCCUCUCCGCCAGUUUUCCGAUGCUUUCUCUAGCCAGAAGAAUCCAAGGCCCCCAAAGAUUUCUCCAGAUUGCGGCGGCGCAGCAGCUCCGUCAUGCUCGAACUGACGCUAGCACCGACCGGUCACCUCGUAGCCGGCGGCGGUCGUCCAAGUUCUCUCCAUCGGCGAUGUUGAGGAAAGCCGAGGAUAAGUCGGAGUGGUGGGUGGUGGACGGUGAAAUGCACGAAAUCGGGGAAAAUGUACCGCUACGAGAGCGCUUUGUGAUCCCUAGGGAUAAUAUUCCUAAUAAGCGCCGGAAGCAGCUCCGAGAGCAGUUCAUGCGACGCACUCGCCUCGUCCUCAAGGAAUCUGUUAGUUCUCAAUUGAUUUUUUUUCUUCGUUAUUAUGGCUUUCUGAUUUUCUUUUUGUGAAUAAUUUUAUUUUAAUUUUGUAAAAUGUUGAAUUUAGGGAGAACAGAGGGAAAAUUGUGAAAUUGAGGGAGAAUAGACAAAUUAGAGAUAGGGGAAAUCUGUUCCAGAAUCUGUGAACUGUGAUUGAGAAGUUUAGAGUUAUAACUUAAGUGAUUGUUGUUAACUUAAACAUGAGCUAUGUUCUUUUUUGCAAUUGAAAGGAGCAUGAACCUUGGUGCAAAAGAUACAUGGAACUAUACAAUGAGCUCAGAGAAAACUGGGAGAGGCUGUAUUGGGAUGACGGCUAUUCCAAGAAACUUGCUCAGGAUCAUGCAAAUUAUGACUCACCCGAUGAUGAUGAAGAAGAUUUCAAUCCUUACAGGUUUGGGCAUUUUUUUGAUGUACCAUUUCAUCAUUGAUCUUAUGUGGUUUAAUCUAUCUGGUUGAGGAAUUUUUUUGAGUUGGUAUUCCUCUCUAACUCUAUAUUGAUCAGCAUUCAGCCUAUAGGUACGAACUUUGUAUCUCAGUAUGAUUCAUUUUGACCUGUUGGAGAUUGUAUGUUGAUUUCAUUCUUUCAUCAUUUUCAUAUUUUGGGAUGGAUAAUAGCAAAAGAAUAAUGGUGUGUAAUUUAAUGAAAUGAUUAUCACUCUUGUUGCAGGAAUAGACAGCCCCGAGCUGAUCAAAUCAAGGUAAUCUUUUGCAGACUACUUUUUGUGAAUUCUACAUGUUCUUGGAUUCAUCUGGUUAUCAGAACUUUAUGAAGACUAGAAUCUUUUGGCUGGCAGUUCUUUCCUCACCUGUCAUAAGAUAACGCUCAUACAAAGUUUGAAAUGGUAUUUACAGAUAUCAUGUUGAAUUAGUUGUUUGGUUUGUAAUAAUCUGUUUAUAAGUUUUUUCCCGUGUAUUCUGGCGACUCUAGAUUGAUACAUUAAGAUGUUUCAUAUACUUAUUUCUGUAGCAUUUGAACUUGACAUUGACCAUUUUAGCUACAGCAUCAAUUUGUGGGGAGAAACAAGGAAAGCGACACUUGGGAAAAGGCUAGCCAAAUCCGUGACAAAUUUGAAUAUGAUAGGGAGAGAAGAAUGGCGGAAAAAGGUUAGUGAGUUGGUUGUACCUCGAUUGCUUUUUAAAUUUACAUGUACAUUUUGUAUGUGAUAUGAUACCUACAGAUCUUUGACACAGCUAAAGAAUUGGUUUUAUGUUAUUCUGUACCAAUGAAGAGUGAAACUCUUAUUCAUUUUGUUCUUAUUUCUGGUUACUGGAUUCAUGUAACUUGUGAGUCUUCUUGUUGCCUUGUCAUCUAGCUCCUGCCAAAAAAAUCCCUUUAGUCAAUUUCUGUAAGUAUUUUGAUCAUACUUGUGUAUUGGGAAUUGGAUCAAAUCUCAAAUUUGAAGGCAUACCUAAGAUUUAAUAAGCAGAAAAUAUUCAUUAUUUCUGAUUUCCAGGGUCUUAUAUAAAUAGUUUUCAAUUUGCAGCCUUUGCACCAAUGAAUGCAGCAGAUGACUCUGAGAUGAAUCGCACGGUCUCAAGGACUGAACCCUUUGACAUCAGAAGAUACAUUUCUGAAUCUGAGGAGGAGUAACUGACAGACUGAAAAAANUUAUUCUGGGAUAUAUUGAUACCCUGCUGUACAGUGAGAAGUUAUUGAUGAUCAUGAAGUUGCUAACAAUUUCAAGUUUCACUAAUACAGAAGAUGUUCGGUUCUACAAGAUUGGAUCUGGAUUAUGAGAGGAGAUCUGGCUUGGUAUGGGAUAUGGCACUGCACAAUAAUUACAACUUGUAAGUUCUAAACUUACAGUUCUCCUAGGAGGGAGGGGUUGCCCCGGGUGCUCUUGUAAAUUCAUGACAGGUGAGUACCUGAGGAUACCGCAUUUUAUUGAUGAAUUCUGAAUACUUUAGAUUUGGCACGGAAUAUGCUUUUGUUUCAGUCGGGGAAUUGAAUUUGAUGGUAUGGAAAGAACAUUGAGUUUUGCAGUAAGCCGAUGCUAUAUGUGAACGCUUUCGAGCUUAAGUUGAGCUUACUAAAAUGCUUUCCUCCACCAUCAACACUGGGAACCUAAAACUUUCUACAAGCUUUUUUAGAUUUCAAGCAUUGUCAGUGCAUCAAGGAAAAAACAAUUGCACUGUAAUAUUUAUUUCCAGCUUCUAAUUUGCUUAUAUCUCGAGCUGAUGUGCCCUCUAAAUUCGUAAAAGAGUCAGGAUCCAGAAGAUGGUAAUUUAUUUGGGCCUAAACUUAUAUUCGAAUGUAUAUUUUAUAAUUUUGGGAUUUAGUUGUGUUUUGAUUUGAGUCGGAAUCUUCAUCUGUGAAACGAUGUUCAGUUACAUUAAGGUCAUGAGCCAACCAAUGGAUUGAUCACCUGUUAUUUUAUGGACCAAUAACUCUGUUUUUCUCUCUCCAUUCCUUUUAAUUUGUCAUAGAAUGUUUUUUUUUUUUUUUGAAAGCCAAGACGGGCCCUUCAUAUUAAGGAAAAUCACCAGAAAACAACUCGCAAAGCCAGCGAGGAAAGUCAGCAACCCAACAGACUGGGCUCUGACAAGAACUUGCAAACUGCGCAAGACUAUGAGCAACAAUAUUCGCCUCUCUAUACAUAUGACUAACACCAAUAAGCAUAGACGAACGAGCUACCAUAAGAAUAUCCAAAAUAUCAUCCGGUAAGAAACACCCUCCUCUCCGGGCAAGCCAUCACCCUCACCGCCAUCAUAGAAUCCGUAUAAAUCUCAAUAGGAUAAAUAUCAUGCUCAAUACACCACGUAAUACCUGCUACCACUGCCAUAAUCUCCAUCAGCAAAGGAUUAGAACUCACCCGAGCAGAUUUUGCAGCUGCAAGCCGGACAUGCCCCAAAUGAUCGCGCACCACUACCCCUAUUCCAUAUUUUCGGCUCUGUGGAUCAAAAAGGGCAUCCACAUAACAUCUAAAGCACCCAGCCCGCGGAGGAAACCAGUAUCGUCGGCCAAGUUUCAAACCUAACAAAUUCUCCACCGAUAACAUGGGUGUUGCAACUUGGUAGCUCUCAAGCGCCGCUUGACAAUCAUCAAUAGACGGCAGUUGUUGUGGUUUGAUUUUGUCAUGUUUGACCUCACAAAUAAAGCACCAUAAUUUGUGAAGAAUCAUGCACCAAAGUGCAUACUCGUCCACCGUAAAAUGUUGUCGCACAAUCUCCGCUAAAUCAAUCAGAGAAAGCCCCUCUGCAUAUUUCAUCAUCCUCCAAAAGAUGGAUGUUUUCCACACCGAUUUCAGUAACGGACAAUAAAUAAGUCCAUGCUCUGUAAAAUCCCAUCGGCUAUGACAUUGUUCACACACACCAUCCACUGGCACUCUAUGAUAUCUCAAAUUAACCCCCGUAGGAAUGAUAUUAUUGAAUGCUCGCCACAUGAAAACCCUUACUUUCGGCGGAACAGAAAUAUUCCAUACAAGUCUCGACCAGCUCUUCCUCACUUGGUUACUUUGAUGCGGCGAACUGUCAAAAUACCCCAAGCUUAAAAGGUACGCUGUUUUGACAGUAAAUAAACCCCGUUGGUCACAACCCCAACAAAUAGUGUCAACCGAACCAAACUCCCCAACUGGCGUUUUCAGAAUUGCCUCCACUUCAUGAGGCCAGAAAAACUCACGAAGAAUCACCUCAUUCCAGGUUCUUCCUGGACCAACAAAGCUGCUCAACCUUCAGCGUUAAAUCAGUAUUGUGCACACGACCAAACACACGGCCCUUUGGCAACUCCUGCACCCACGCAUCAACGAACACCCUCACCUUCGAUCCAUCCCCAAUCCGCCACCUCAACCCUUGCUCCACCAGUGGCUUGCUCCACAUCAAAGACCGCCAAAUAUAAGAGGCAUUCCGUGUUGGUACAGCCUCCAUGAAGCCCUCAUGACGGUAGUAGCGUGCCUUAAAAACACGAGCCACAAGAGAUGAUGGCUUAGUAAUCAACCGCCAAGCUUGUUUUGCCACAAGAGCUUGAUUGAAGCACUUCAAGUUCCGGAAACCCAUUCCACCCCACUCCUUCGGUUUACAAACAUCCGCCCACUUCUUCCAGUGCACGCGUCGCUUAUCAUCCUUAUCACCCCACCAAAACCCCGCAGCAAGGCGGUUAAUCUCGUCACAAACCGAAUCCGGUAACGAAAACACUGCAUAGCAUAGGUUGGAAUAGCUUGAAUCACUGCCUUUAACAUCACUUCUUUGCCACCUCCCGAAAAAUCCCGCUGGUUCCAACUCAUAAGUUUUUUCUGGACCUUCUCUACAAGAUAACUAAACUGGAGCCUUUUCUGUCUCAAAGAGAAAGCAGGCAGUCCCAAGUAAUGUUGGUUGCCCUCACCUCCCUUAACACCCAAAAUCUGCUUCACCUCAUUCACCCGCUGCAUGGUAGUGUUUGGGCUAAAAGAAAUCGAAGAUUUAUCAAAAUUAAUCAGCUGCCCGGAAGCCUUCUCAUAUCUUCGAAUAAUAUCCCUAAUCGCCUCCGCCUCCCCACCAUUCGCGCCAAAGAAAAUCAAACUGUCAUCUGCAAAGAAAAGAUGUGAGAUGCUCAAUUGGCGAGGAAUAAUCGGAACCCCCAUUAUACGUCCACGCCGCUCAUAAUCAUUAAAAAAUGACGAGAAGCCCUGCGCGCAGAUUACAAACAAGAAAGGCGAUAGAGGAUCUCUUUGCCUCAGUCCACGAGUAGGAUUUACAGUUCCAUAAACCCUCCUAUUCAACAGGAAAGAAAAAGAAACCGACCUCACACAACGCAUAAUAAGAGUACAUAACCCAUCAAGAAACCCUAAUCUUCUCAUAACAGCCUCAAGAUAAUCCCAUUCAACUCGGUCAUAGGGUUUGCUCAUAUCAAGUUUAAGAGCAGAGAAACCCUUUUUACCUUUCUUUCGUGCACGCAACCAGUGUUGGCAUUCAAAACUUAUCAAAAUAUUAUCCGUGAUUUGUCGCCCUUUAAUAAAUGCGCUUUGCGCUUGAUCAAUCAAUCCAUCAAGAACCCGCCGCAGUCUAUUCACAAUAACUUUGGAGACAAUCUUAUAUGUGGUAUUGCACAUGCUUAUGGGCCGGAACUCCGACACCCACUCCGGCCUCUCCACUUUAGGAAUGAGGCCAAUAACAGUCGCAUUCCAAUCUUGUAUCUUAGCACCCUCGUUCAGGACAGAUAACACGUCCCUAGUGAUACAUGGGCCUACAGCUGGCCAGAAACGUUGGUAAAAACGAGCGCAAAAGCCAUCCGGUCCGGGAGCUUUUGUUGGGUGCAUAUCAAACACCGCACGCCUCACCUCAUUCUCAGUAUAGUGCUCAGCCAACAUAUCAUAAUCAGCCUGAGACAGCCGCUCCUCAAUCUUAGAACAAACAUCCUCAAUAUCCCUUCGACAAGGCCGAGAAGUAGAGAAAAGCUCUUGGAAGUAAUCUUUUAUAAUCUGUGCUUUAUCUUUCUCUCUAUCCCACACCACUCCCGCACUAUCAAUCAAGGUUUUAAUAGUGCCUCGUUUCUUGCGUUUAGAAGCCUGAAUAUGGAAAGCACGGGUGUUCCUAUCGCCAUUAGCCAGCCAGUUAACUCUUGCCCGUUGCUUCCAAUGACACGCCUCAAUCUCUACCGCCUCCUCAAUCUCACGAGAUAACUUGUGAAUAGCAUCAUCAUUAACUUUUCCACCAACCUCCUGCAUUAGCCGAUUACGCUCUUUCCGAAGUUCUUUAAUCCGUUUACUCAUUCCAUGAAACUUUUUCCCUGCCCACUUCUUCAAGAAAACUUCACAAUGCUUGAGCUUCGCCGGGAGCUCAACCACAUCUUGUAACGCCUCCCAUUCACAUAAAAAAUCGGGCACAAAAUCCUUAUCCAAAAACCAUUUUUCCUCGAAAUGAAAUCUGCCCUCUCCAUAACACGCGAUCUACUUGUUUGUCGCUUCAAGAGCUGUCAUAGAAUUUUUUUUAUUUUAUACUAUUACCGUUUGAAUUGUUUAAUAUAUGUNGAAUAAUUACAAUAAAGUAUCUCCAUUAUUAUUUGAUUUAAUUUUUUAUUGCAACUUUGCAAGUGAGCUCCACAACCACAAUGCAAAUCUGACAAUAAUACAAUAAAUAAAAUCAACAACUGACUAAAGAAAGCGAACAUCAAUUUUCAAAUGGAGAUUGUAGGGGUAGAUUUUUAAAAAACAAUAUAAAAAUAGUCCACAAAAAUAAAAAAAUAAAAAUUAGAUACUUACUAUUUUACCCUUCACAUAAAAAAUUUAAAACUAUUCACUGGCUGUGAAUUUAUUGAAUUGGUUGUGAAUUGAAGAAUACAUUAACAACAUAGACUCACCUCCACAAUAAUUGACAGCACGCAACCUCACAUAUUUGAUUAAAUUCACAAAAAAAAAAAAAAACAUCACUUAUAUUUUUCUAUUAUUAUCAAAUCGAUUUUAAUUUUUUUUUCUCCCAAUUUUGACGUGUUUUGCAUAAAAUUUUGAUUUUUCCAGUGACUGAUGAAAUUAAAAUUCGAUAUAUGCACCUCCGCGUAAGAAAUUAGAUCUGAAACAGAGCAAUUGAUUGUGGCGCAAGGUGAAGGCAACACGAGGCAAAUGCAGACAAGGUGUUCAUAUGAAAAUUUUCUUUCUCAAUUGGAUUUACCAUAACUCUUGUGGUCAGAAAGAAGUCCAUAUAGAUCUCUACUAGUGCAAUGUUGUGCUUAAUACAAACUGUUGUAGAUAUCUUGCCCCGCAAUCGAUUCUCCGUUCUCACGCGCCGGAGCCUUAUUUUAGAAUUUUUUUCCCGAAGCUCAGCUGCACACUAAUCCCUUGCGUAGACCACACACACAUUAGCUCACUGAUUGUUCGAGUUAGACGUGCUCUUUAAUUUCCUGCACAAAAGAAAAACACCAAGAGAAGAAGUUAGAAAGUGUAGCUGUAACAGGGAGCUAAAAUAAGAGGAGAUAGGGGAAAGGGGAAGCCUGGAAACGGAGCAGCAUCGGCUGUCCGGGAACGACGCAGGAGCAGCUGACGGAGAUGACACAGCAGCGGCUGUCUCCUCGGCUCAGAUCUCGGUCUCUCUCAAACCCAAAUGUAGUCCUCCUCCGGCAACUCCACUGCCAAGUCACCCAAUCUCACUCCGACUAACCCACACAGAGAUAGUUCAGAUCGGACGAAGAAGACACACAAGCACUAAGCUUGUUCACACUUCGACCAAGGCACGGAGAUGACAAGAGGUAUGGUGAAGUCACAGGCAAAGCUUCUCUCUUUCACACAGAAAACACAGAGAGAAGGAAGAAGGGAACAAGGAGGAAGGAGGCAGCUAGGGUUCCACAUUCAUCUCAAGGAGUGCAGCAGCUAGGGCUACAUUUUAACCAAGAAGAUGGGCUGCCAAUUGUGGACUGAGUGCGGGUAAUGGGCUGUCAGGAAUGGGCCUUGGUUUGGGCCAACAAUUUCAACAAUCUCCACCUUUGGCCCAACCGCGGUGGAGGGUGUUUAUCUUAAUUAUGACAUAAUCAAUCUUAAUAAUUAAUUAUUAAGUAUAUAUUGCAAAUUAAAUGUAAAUUUAUUGUAAGGAUUAAUGGACACUAAUUAAUAAUUGUAAAAUCUUUAUAUAUAUAAAAAGAAAGGUAAAUGUCAAUAAAUUUAAUUUGAAGGGUAAAAAUGGAAUAGAUCUUGGCUUUCUAAAUUUAUGAUUAAGUGGUUAUUAUCUUGUUAGGGAAAACUAAACAAAUAUAUAUUGAUUAGUGAGCCAACUUAUUGUAGUUGAGUGACGAUACUCUAACAAAUUCCCAACAAUUCUUUGGACUUGGUUUUUUAUAUACAUCAUUGUAAUAUAAAUCAAUAAGAAGAUAAGAGGAUUUAGUUGAUGUAUUAUUGUAGUACAUUAUUGUAAUAUAAAAUCACUCGGAAGAUAAGAGAAUUUUAAUUGAAGAAUUAUUGUCGUAGCCAUCAUGAUAAUCAUUAUCAAACUUAAAUUGAAUUAAGGUUUUUGGAGAUUAAGAAAACAACAAUUUGGCUAUCUCAAGAAUGACAGGUAGGCCUAUUUUCUACAAUGGUCAAAAAAUUCAAUAAUUAUAUUAGAGAGUAAACAAAGAUGAAAAAUGAUUUAUCUCAAUAACUUUUGUAAAAAGCUUCACAGCAUGGGGCAAUACUUUUUUGAAAAAUCAAGUACUAUAAAUAAACAAAUACAGAGAUAAGGAAAACGGGUAGCAUGCAAUAAUAGCACGUUUGGCUGCUGAAUUCGAACUUUUUAUUAUUAUUAUUAUUAUUAUUUAUAAAUUACACGAGUAAAAUAAAAAAUUUAAAGAUCACACCACGGUAACUCGAACCCAAAACUUCACGUCCUGAGGGUUUAAAUGAUUCAAACCUUUUUCAAGUUAGGGAAUGGGGGUUGAGAUUCAUACUCUGUUCUUUUAGCUUACAAAGUGGAAGAAUAUCAAUGAGUUACAACUCUUAUCCAACCGUACAUAAGUUUUUCACCUCGUAAAAGUCGCAAUCGAAGCUUUCGGAACCAUUUCAACUGACCAUCAAAUGGUACAAGUCAUUUACAAAACAAGAGGGCAAGCAAAGAUUGAGAUUACUAGCACAGGAUUCAUAAACUAUAAUGUCUACAUAACCCAACAUCCAAAGGAGAUUCGAAGAUUGUAAGAUUAUAGCUUUCAAGGAAGAAUCAUAUCAACAGUAUUUACUUUACUCGUCUGCUCCAGUUUCUUUCCGGUGAGAUCAUGGAAGUAGUAAGUUAACUUCAAACGUCCAAUCUCCAAUGCCCAAACAAUAAGAUUAGAAUUGGAGACACCAAAUGCGAUUCGGGCUCUCUACAACACAAAAUUAAGCCAGAUCCUCCUCGUGAAGUCAUUUCUAUUGUUUGGAACUAGGUGAUGGUCCUUUUGUAACAUUCUCGGGCAUGGCUGAGCCAUUGCCCGACUCUUGUGCAAUGCCAUUUGCUUCUUCCGUGUUCAUAUCAUUAAAACUUCGUUUCUUGGAUGAUGAAGGACUAACCUCCUUGUCUUUCGUUGGCUGUGCUUCACAGCUAGAUGUAGGAAACAAUGGAGGUUCACAACCGCUUAGUUGACAGAAAACUCUCUCGACAGUGUCAUUGAUCUCCUUCCCCAAGCCAUUUUGAUCCAAGAUCAAGUCCCAAACUGAUCUAGAAGCCUUCUCAAGUACAGGAGCCCUGCAUAUAUUUGCCAACCACAUCAACUCUUACAUAUUGUGUUCUGGUUCCCAAGAAUCAAACUACGAGACAUACCACUUUGCAUAUGCUUUGUCAUAAUAAAGCAUCAUGCUGAAUCUGGAUAGUGCAAGCUGAAAAUCCAUUGACAAUGCUAAACUUCAAUGUAUUGAAUGGCAGGAAGUAGCUAGCUUACAUGCAAGCCUUCUAGAGAUACAAACCCGAGAUAAAGGAGGAUUUAGAGAACAAAAAAUAGUUGCUCUUAAACAAGCAAUUAAAGUUCCAUUUGCCUUAGACCUGAUUGUUCUAAAUUCUCGAUCAUCCUAAAAGUCAUAUGAGGAAAAUAACUUGCCCAUAAUGAUAAGGCAACACACUAUAGACACUAAAAUUAGCGUGGUUACAAUUUUUUUUUAUUAUUAAAACUUCAAAACACUCAUGGAAUAAUUACAUAAUACAAAAAAAUUGUGACGAGUACUUAUAACUUACUCAAGCUCUUGUCGAAGUGAAUCAAACAAUUCUCGCUUUGUCUGUUUUUCAGCACCAGGAGUAUUGAGAACCUUACUCUGCUCCACCAUUUUUAUUGUGUUACUCUUUAGCUCCUCCUGCAAGAAAUCCAGCACAAUGACUUUUUUGUUUUUAUGGAUCAACACUUCAUAAUACAGUGAGAUAAGCCAAGAAUUUCUAUGCCCAUGAAACAAAAUAACCAACCAUCGAAACAUCCGCGAGAACUGAAACAAGAAGAUUUAUUAGUAGGACACUUGUAAAAUGGAAGGUGUGUGGCAUGCAAAUGAUAUCUCAACAGUUCAUUAAGUAUGUUGACAACCACUACGUCACAAGCUCAUGCCACUUUGGAGUCAGGCAACUGAAGAAAUAUUCUUUGUUGGAAAUAGAUCCAUUAAUUUCUUCAUAAGUUGAAAGACAAAAAGGAAGACAAAAUAUAGAAAAUGAAAGAUAAAAGACUUUUGUGAAAUAACUGACAAGACACGGGAGCUCCACAUUCUCUAGCUUAAGUGCAAAAGGGGUGGGGAACAAAAUCAGGAGAUAAAGAAAAUUAUGCAUAUCAGUCGUCCUCCAUAUGUUACAUGCAUACAAGCAAAACAUACAAAUUAUUGGAACGAAGGAUGCACAUAAAAUCGGUCAAAUAACAGUUAAUUUCAACUUAACUUUACACCACAAGCUUCUUGGGAUAUAUUCUUUUAUCAUCAGCAUGGUAACAAUGCAUGAUAAACUAAUAGAAGCGCCAAUUACAAAACAUCAUCCCUCAAAUCACAAAAAAUUACAUGCACAAAAUCUCACAUUGGCUUUAAGCUGGUUGAUUAUCUUCAACCGGAUGGCGUCGAUAGUUCCAUCGUUCAUGAGCGUUUCCAGCACAUCCUCCGGUGUUAUCACCGGCGAUGCCAUCUCGUGAGGCCUUCUUUGGGGAUUUCGAAAUUAUCAAUUUUUGUGAAUUUCGUUGAGCUCAGCUGAAUUUGGAGAUUAUUAUGUAGAAACUAUUGCAAACACCACCAAGAUGAGGAUUCUGCAGAAGCUAUUGCAAGCACAAUCAAGAUGAGGAAGAUAACCAAGUCUACUACUCUUGGGAAGCAGUGCAGAAAGUUUCAAUCAAGUGAGGGUAAGUUCUUAGAACUUUUUAGAAACUUCUCAAAAUUUGCAUACUAAAAACUUAAAAUAAUAAAAAUGUGUGUUCUAGAUCUUAGAUUCGUAGCUAUUCUUUACUGCAUAUAGAUCACAAAAAUAUCCAUGGUUAUUAACUUUAUAAUAUUUGCUUCUGCAUUAGGCUUUACCCUUAAAACAUAGAUAAUACCUUCUACUUCAUAAAUGUCUAUGAUCAAUUUCUUACUUUAGGUUUUAUAUAAUACGAAAAUCCAACAAUUAAAUCGAAACUCAGCCCCCAUUAGUUACUACCCACUGCCAAAUUGAAAUAAAUCCAACAAUUAGAAUCCUACCUGGCGCGCAACUGGCGGACUGCUCUGGUCGCGACGGGCGGGGCGGCGUGACGGAGGCUGAAGGCGGUGCGACGGGGUCUGGUCGCGCCUCAGAGGACUGCAGCGAAUCGAAGCGAGAGAUGGAGGGUCUGUGAAAUUAGGAUUUGGGAAUUUUGGGGGAGAAAGAAUCGGUGUGGAGAUGGGAGGGGGCAGAUCGCGGCGGGGGAAGGCAGCAAGGUGGUCCGACGAAGCAGAUCCCGGCGGUGGGAGGGGUGGGGUGCGCGGUGGUGUAGAUUGCGGCGGUGGGGCAGAGAAGAAUCGUGAGAGACGGGAGAAAAGGGAAUUGAUUUUAUGUUUUGGGAAGGAGUUAUUGCCGAAAAAUACAUGUAGUUCGUCAAUUUUCUGGUUUAUAACAUGACUUUAUAAUCUGACCAGAAAAUACAUCAAUUUUCAAUUUAAUCGCAAUUAUAACAUGACUUUAUAGUCUGACAAGAAAAUUCACCAAGUUUCAAUUUAUUCUCAAUUAUAACAUGACCUUAUUUAGAUUAUUUUUCAUCAUAGAUGUAUUAAUAUUAAUUGUUUUAUAUUAAAUUGUUAUGUAUAAAAUUUUGUAAUUAAUUGAUUAAUUUUUAUAAAAAUUAGUUAGAUGAUUAAUUAUUUAUAUAUAUAUAUAUAUAUAUAUAUAUAUAUAAUUGUAAUUUAACAUGCAAUAAAAAAUUUCGCUAAUCAAUAUUUUUUAGUAACAACAACAUCAACAUACAUUAAUAAGGUCAACUAUAUGGUUCAUAAUUUUAAAAUUAAAUUCAGAUUUUUUAUAUAAUAAUAAUAAAAAAUAAAAAUAAAUAUACUACUUAUAGCUCAUAUGUAUUUAUCCUUUUAGAAAUUUAAAUUGAAUUGUUAUUUUGUUUAUUAGUAUUAAAGAACUAAAAAUACAUAUGCAUAUAGUAUACAAGUACUUGCGCAAUACUCCCUCCGACCCAUAUAUAUAGUGUUGUUUUAUUUUUUUCGGAUGUCUCAUUUAUAUAGGUUUAUUUUCAUAUAAAGUAAUUUUUUUCACUCAUUUACUAUUAUAUCCCUGUUUAAUUCUUUAAUUUACUCUAACUUUAAUUCAUCAUUAAAUAAUAAAUAUGGGCAUAUUAGGAAGUUUACUUAUAUAUUUUAUUUUCAAUGAUUUUUCUUAAUACAUGUGCAAAUUUCAAUCAGCUUAUAUAUACAGGACAAAGAGAGUAUAAUUAUAUAAAUGUAUACAAAAUAUAAGAUACAUAUAUUAUAAUAUAUAAAAGUUAAAACAUGAAUUUUUCUUUAUAUUCAUUGUUAAUUUGUUAAUUGAUAUAAACUUGUCAUAUAUUCAAAAUUUUCUUCACUUUAUAUAAAAAAAGGAUUAAAAAAAUAUAAAUCAUUGAGCGAGUUUGGCUUGAUGUAUCUAAUGGGAUUGGGCGGGGCUUCAAAAAUUUCAGUCCAAUCAAAUCCAAGUUUGGUUAGUACGGUGGACCAACUCGAUCAUUUGAAUUAACAUUCAUAUUAUAGUUUAUAUAAAAUAAUUAAAAUAUAAACAUAAAUAAAUAUGUAUUAAUGAUGUGGAUGAUAUUGUGAGUUUUGUUUCUCCCUCAGAAAGUGCUCAAGAUAAAAAUUGAAACCCAUUAAGGACCCAAAGAGAUGUUAUGCCCAUUAAGGACCCAAAGUGAUGUUAUUUAUCUUCCUACUAAAUGUUGUUAUCGCGUUACUAACUUCAGAUCUAAAUAAUACGAUGGCAAAGAAAAAUGAGCAAAAUUCGUAUUAAUAGUCAAAGUCAACGACUAAAUGAACAAAUUGGAGGGAAUUAUUUGCGGAUGAUCAUCAAGUGCAAAGGUGAGUAAACAUGGUCACAACACGACAAAUGAGUCAUUGUCAACUUGAACACAUGGAAUAUCUUAUUGGCCCUCAAGGCAAUCGGCUAACAGAAAUGUGUUAUUAGAAGAAUCGAUCAUUUUGCCAACUCUAAUUUGAUGAAUAGACAUUCAUAUAAUAGUUUAUAUGAAAAAGUUAAAAACAAGCAGAAACAAAUAAGCAUUAGAUUUUUAUAUCCAUAAAAAUAGCAUAAUAUCACAAAUAUACUUCACUAGAUAAUAAUAAUAAUAAUAAUAAUAAUAAUAAUAAUAAUAAUAAUAAUAAUAAUAAUAAUAAUAGCGCAACUAAAGUACCGCAUUAUAAUAUAGUGUGACAUUAUAGUCAGCAAUAUUUAAAAAUAUAGAUCUAAGGCAGGGUUGUAAUCUACUAAAAAGUGCUCACAUGUUUGUGGUACUGAAAAAAAAAUUAAUUUUGAACACAAUAAAAGUGCGUUUGCAAAAUGAAGAACCUUCAACAAGAAUAAGCCACGCACACCAGGUGUUUGACAAAACUCCAAGCUGAGAACCUGCACAUAAAACAAACAAAGAACAAGAAGCACUGCAUCGUGGUGAAAACCAUUACCCUGAAAACAAGAUUCGGCUGGCAACGAGGUGCACGCCCUACGUGCCGAUUCGUUCCCCAAGGUUAACACAAGUUCCACCCAAAGCACACACCUCGUGCUUAAGAUGGAUUUGAGAAACAGAGAACCAAUGCCAAAAGGAAAAGAAAGAUGCAGUUACAAUCUCUUUUUCUGAGAGAAGAAGAUGAACACUACACUUCUCCCUCAACUCACCGGAAAUCAAAGUUUAAAAAGAGGAAGAAGAAGACGUGUUCCAGUGACGUUGAGGAAAAAUCUCAACUGUCGAAGACCUAUUCAGCUAGGGUAAAAAAAGCACAACUAGGGACUAGGCCAAGAAACCAAGUCCAAUGGGCCACAUACUUAACCAAAAACCAUUAAGCAAUAACAGCCCAAACCAGAGAAAUAGGCACAAAAGAUAAUUUAUCUGACAAACUUCUCUAGGCUGCUUAGAGGUGCACAACAAACCUACUAAUCCAACUGAAUUGGUUUUAACACUUAGCACACUCCGACACAGUUAACUCCAAUCAGCUAAUGCUAAGGUAAUUGGAGCCAGAACCUUUAAGCUGUACUCUCUCUUGGUUUGACGGUACCAAGGUAACCUACCUAGUUUAGUUUUCUGGUACUAAACAACAACCACUUGGCUUAUCAGGUGCCAAGGGACCUAACAAUUUAGUUUUCUGGCACUAAACUACGACCACUCAAACUCACUUUUCUCUCGGUUGAAAAGGGGGUUUGAACUCUUCCAACUAAGAUUACAGAGAACAGACUCUCGUGUAAUCCAUUUUAGGCUUAAGAUAAAACAAGAAAUGCCUAGACAAAUAAGAGAGUUUAGGUAAUCAGCUAGACUGAUUUUACAAUGUGGUUUACUCUCUUCUUCGAUUCGAAAUCUAUCCAUGGAAUUGCUAGCUCUUUACUCCGGCAGAGCUUCAGCAUAUGUCUUUGAAUCGGUGAAGAUUGCAGCUGAUCCUCAAGCUCUAUUUAUAGGCGAAGUCUUGAAUAGAUCCGUUGGAGAAAUGGUCUUCAGGAUUUCUGCCGUUGUGAGAGGAUGUUGCUUCUUGGGCCGAGGUGGCAAUCUUCGGAUACUCCUAUUGACAGCAUUUGAAUUGUCUUGUCCUUGGAGUAUAGUGCUUCUGCAUCUUUACACGUAAAGGAAAACUCUCGUACUUGCAAGGAUGAUCUUCAAAUCUUUGGCAUUUAAUUUUGUUGUACUUAAGCAUUAAAUGCAGCGUGUCCGGUACUCUUCUCUUUAGUUAGAUGCAGAAUAUCGACUGGUAUUUGAGAUGUCUUUAGUUCAAUGCUGAUGUUGAGUUGUGUGAUCAUCUACGACUGAUGACUGAAGACUUCCAGUCGAGGUGUGUCCUUUCAGUGAGGCGUGCUUCAGUUGAGCUGUCUUUGAUCUUUAGUCUUUGGUUCCUUGUCCACUUGAUCUAAAGUCUUAGUAACUCUAGUCAAGGCCUGUGAGAACUGAAACCUUUGGACCUGCAAUUGAGACAAAGACAUGAGAAGCAAACUAAUGGUUUUGGUGUCAUCAAAAUUGGUUGGAUAUCUUUUGUGUCCCAACAAUUUUCCCCUUUUUGAUGUUGCAAAAACCACAUAACCAGAGAUAAAAUAAAAGCCAGAGAGAUGCAGUAAGGGUAUGUUGGGAACUUAAUGAAAUAUCAUAAUCUUAGUUUUGAUGAUACCAAAAUCAAUAAAUUUCACUUGUAAUAAACUAGAGCUGUUCGAACUCAAGUGUUAGAGUUCUUUUUCUAGUUUAGUUGUUGUUCUGAAUACUGAAGAUUGAAACCGGGUGACUGAAGACUGAAGUUGCCGACUCAAAUACAUAAGCUGAAAUGCUGCCAAAUUUGUCACUCAGCAUUCAAAGCCACUUCAAAGUUUGAAUCGAAGAAGAGAAUCACAAAGCCAAAAAUCACUUCAAGAAUCAAGGUAAAGUCAAAUACUGAUAUUUGACAAACCAGUCCAAGAAUCAGUUACGACUGAUUAAGGUAAAGUCUGAAGUUGCCGACUGAUGUGAUGAUUAAGGUAAAGUCAAAUACUGAUAUUUGACUAACCAGUCCAAGAAUCAGCUACGAUUGAUUACUUAAUGCAAGCCACGUGGAUUCAGCGGACUGAUACUAAAGUCAAGUAUUAGUUAAACAUUCUUCUUCGGACUGAAGAUCCAAAGCUUAAAGAAAGCCACGCACUCCAGAAGUACAGCCGCAUUAAAUACAGAGAUCUCAGGAUCGUCCUUUCUCUGCAGAGGCCACUCCUUUUGGUGACUACCUUUCAGAGAUGUCCUAUCUCUUGCUCUUCAAAGUAGCCGUUCUCACCAAACAAAGGAACUUUAAAGAUUGAAGCCUCAGCCCAAGUUCAAAUUACUCUCUAACGGAAGAAUUCUUGAAGACCAUUUUAGCCAACGGAUAUAUUCAAGACGUCUCCUAUAAAUAGAGCUCGAGGAUCACUUCAAUCUUCACCGAUUCAAAUACAUAAGCUGAAAUGCUGCCGAAUUCGUCACUCAGCAUUCAAAGCCAUUUCAAUGUUUGAAUCGAAGAAGAGAAUCACAAAGCCAAAAAUCAGUCACUGCUGAUUACAUACAUUCUCUUAGAACUUAGGCAAAUAUUGUAUAUCCAAAGCCUAGGUAUAACUGAUUACAGAGAACCUGUUCUUUGUAAUCUAGUUGGCAAGUUUUCGAACCUCUUUUCAACCGACCGAAUUGUGAGUUUGAGUUGUAAGGAGUUUAGACCAGUGUUUUGACUCCGAGAGAUCUUAGUCUUUGCGGAAAGGCAUAGUUUUUGUCUCAGUGAAGCUAAGAGUGAGAAAUCCAACCCAGUGUGUUGGUAUUGAAGAUAGGAUCUACAGUUGUCUAGGUUUGCUGUGCACCCGUAAGCACAUGCCCAGUGAAGUUGUCAGUCUGAUCAACUGACCGUGGAUGUAGGAAAAGUUUUCCGAACCACGUAAAAAUCUCUGUGCUAUUUACAGCUUUCAGUAUUUAUCUUCUUACUUGUGUUCAAACCUUCUCCAACUGAAAACUGAUUAACUGCAAAGAUAAACUUAAUUUCUGACAACGUGAUUAAUCUCACAGGCUAUUUCGAAACAAUAGUUUUCCGUUGCGUGUGUUAUUAGUCUAACUGAUUUAUCUUUGGAUAGUCAGUAAGAUUCAUAACAUCUCUCUGUUCAACAAACUUGACUGAAGCUUUACGUGUAUUAGUUAAAGUCUCAGACUUAACUGAUAACUCCUUACUGAAGAGUAUUCAGUAUCAGUCAUCAACCUAAACUUUACUAAACUCUUUUAACUGAAAAAGGUUGUGUCAGUUUGUGUUCCAAGUUUCAUUUUAAAAAAUAGCCUAUAGGUGUAUCCCCCCAUACACCUAUUCGAGACCCUCCGGACCUAACAAUUGGUAUCAGAGCAGGUUGUUCGCAAGAACAAUUUUGCUUUGUCAAUGUUCUAACUGAACUAGUUCCUACUUGAAAGGGUUGUCAAGAGUUUUCAAAGGUUUUUCAAAAACUUGUGAUUUCUUCUCUGUGCUACGUGAUUCUUCUAUGUUUUCUCUCUUCUUUGCUAUGUCUUCUGAUCCCUGCAGUUCAUCCUCUCCUCCUCACUCCGAAUGAAAUGAAGACAAGCAGCUUGAUAAAGGAAAGAUAAUUGUUAAAGAAGAACUUGAAGAUUCAAGCUCAUCAUCAGACUCCACUACUUCAGAACAAGAUCUUCUUGAAAUCAAAGAAGUUGAACAAGCUUUAGCUCUCUACAGUGAUCAAAUGAUGAUUCUUGAGAAUGAACUUGUGCGGAAACAAAGAUUGGAAAUAUCCAUCGCCAAGACAGCCUCAAAGAUGAAGGAAAUCUCCAUGAUCAUAGUUGAAGAAGAAGAUGAAGUAGAACUAGCUAUUGAGUAUGCCAGAUUGGAGAGUUUGAUGCAGUCUAGUCAGAAUGAGAGAGAUAAACUCAUCCAACUUCUCAGAGACGUAGAUGCAAAUCUCAUUUGGACGAGAAGAGAACUUGACAUGGCAUUGAUCAAAAUGUCAAAUACGAGAGUCAAGAAAAAUGAAUGGAUUGCAUUCGGCAUGAAUGAAGUCAAAGUAAAACUCUUUCCAUCCAUUUCAAGAGAAGAUUAUCUUGUAAUAAAACAAAUUGAAGACGACAAGGGAAAGAGAACUCUGACUGCAAGUUUCUCACUGACGACUGAGCAUCAAGAAACUCUAACUGAUGGGUCCUCAUCACAAGAAAGAAAAUCAGUCAUUUAUAUUUCCCUACCUUAACCAAUGUCCCUACAUUAUAACCCAAAGAAAAAGACCUUUUUGAUCUUAGUCCUGGCAUACUUUUAGUGAUGGAGAUUGUAGACGAUUGGCAAGCCUAUGGUAAGUGAUCUGCAUUGCAUUGAAUUCGAUGAGAGCAUACACGUCCUAUUCCAUCAAAUUGAGAGUUGAGUGAUACACAUACCUUGUGAGAUUUAAUUGUUUGGAAUGUCAACGUGGAUUUUGCUAUUGGUUGUGUUUAUUGGUGAAUUUUGUGCUUAAUUAUUGAGGAUUUGAGAAUUCUAUCAUUCUUUAUUUUUCGGAGGCAUCGAUGAGCUAGAUUUCUUACCCAUUCGUGUUAUUGAUUUUAUUCUUCUCAUUAUUCGAGGACGAACAAUGAUUUAAGUUUGGGGGAGUUGAUAACACUCAUGUUUCCAUUGUUUUUAUUUCAUAUGAUGUCAAUUUUAUAGGAAAUUGAGUGUUGAUGAUUGUUUUGUGCUUAAUUGCUUUUAUUGUGAAAAUGUCUUACUCGACUUUGAAGAAUUUACAUAUAGUUCGAAUUUGGACUGUUGAUCUUAAUGAAAGUUGUAGUUCAUCUCGAUACGAGUUCGUAGGCGCAAACGGUUCGCAAAUCCGAGUUCGGACGAGAAAGAUAUGGCCGAAACAAGAAAGUCGCGCGCAGCAGUGAAUAGUGCCCGACGGGAAUUUCCGAAUUUUCGGGAUUUUGCGGGAUUUUCGGAUUUUAUCAGUAUUUUCGAGCUCUAUACUGUAUUUAUCCCCUGUGCCUAUAUAUAGGUCCUCUUUUGACCUAUUCAGGGUUCCCAGCUUUAGUUUUUCAGUUCCCAACAUUCAUAUUUCAGUUUUAUAGCUUUAGAACUUUUUAGCUUUCCAGUUUUCAAGGCUUGGAUCAAGAUUGAAGAUUCAAGCCGCUACAAUCGUUUUAAUUCGGUUUUUAUACAAUUUGUUUUUACAAUUGCGUUCAAUUUAAUUAUGUUUAUGUUUGAUUUUAUUAUGUCUGGCUAGUUCUUUUAUUCUGAACCUAGGGUUUGUAUAUAGCUGAUUGAUUAUGUGUUUUUGAUUUAUUGAUAUCAAUUUGCCCUCCAACUUAUGAUUCAUGAUUCCUGGUGCUUAAUUUCUUGUGAAUUAUCUGAUCAAUGAUUUGCAUGUUUAGCUAUUCGGUUUGAGACCUAGCGGAGAUAACUGUUUAGCAGAUUCAGGAAUGUAUGAUAUGAUUUUAACCUUGAGACCUAGCGGAGAUAGGUGGAUCAUAGGGAGCUAUUCUUAGGAGCUAUUGGGAGUUAGUAGAUUUUCUUGAGACCUAACGGAGAUAGAUAAUUUACUAAUCUACGAUCGUUGCUACUCUAGCGAGAGUGAUUGAUUAAUUAAGUGAUCUCUCAUCAUAACUGGAUUAAAUUGGUACAUAGGAUUAAUAGAUUAAUUACAUAGAUUUAGUUAAUGAAUUUACUGCCCUAGGAUCAGUUGUCUUUUAUUAAUUGAGUUUUCUAUCCUAUUUUAUUUGGUUUGUUUUGAUUUAAGUUAUCUACUUCAUUCUUUUUUGUGAUUGCCUGAAUAUUACUAGGGUUUAGUUAGGAUUACUUAAGGUGAUUCGUCAUAAUAGUCCCUGUGGAUACGAUACUCGAUUGUUGUUUAUACUACGAUUACACCGUUUAGUUGCAGUAUUUUUUAUUGCUAAUAAAUUAGUGAUCAGAGAUACAUUCUUAGUUUUUUGCAGAAACCCUCUAAUCUACUCACAAUGGAAAAAUCUUCCACAUCCGUCAAACAACAAUCUGUAUGUUUUGAAGCUUCAAUCACUCAUGAAGCAUUUCUGAAUCUAAAAGAGCACGACAAGAUUAAUGAAAUCUUGAGUCGACAUGGUUGGAUCAACUUCCUGCACAAAGUGCCAGACUUCUUACUCGACGAACAGACCAUCAAGAAAUUCUACAACACCAUAAAGAUAGAUGAAUCAACUGGAGACUACACAGCAGAAAUCGACAUCUUCACCACAGAAGAUUUCACUGACUCGAUGAAAUUUGUCGUCAACAUCUCAAAAGCAGCAAGAGAAUUAUUCCAUCUACUAGCUGAAGGUCCUGCUCCAACCUUCUCGGACGAGGAAGCCACCAGACUCAACAAAGCCCUGAAAGAUGAAGCCACUUUCAAUACAAUAUCAAGAAUGUCUUGAGCAUGUCAAGACUCCACCCUCACCUCAGACAGAUCGUAAAGAUGAUCAAGAGAUGUUGGUUUGGAAUUCUCGGAUCGCAAGAUCACCUAUCAAGACCUCACAAACUUGUGCUGAUUGCGCUCUUACAAGAUGGUCCCUACAAUUGGGAAAAAAGUGUAUCUUCGAGUCCUAGCAGAAGAAAAAUGUGAAACUCACUCUUCCAAAUACUUAAGACAAGGAACAAGAGUGUCGUCAAUAAUCUUACACAGCACCAAGUGGAUUUAGUGCUACUAGAAGAAUACCACCGAAGUUUUCUCAUCCAUCUACCUGUUCGAAGAUCAGAAGAGCUCUACCAAAGCUCCUCCCACUGUGAUCAGGGAAAGUCUUAUUUCGUCAACUGGUGUUUUCAGCUGAACAAGAAGCUCGUCAAGAAAAAUUCAUGUUGGUCUUAAAGGUCCAAUAGAAUUUGACCUUGUUACUCCGAGUACUACGACUGGUGUUCCACCGAGAGCAACUCCUGAGAAAACUCUUGUCGAUUCAUCCAUUCCAUUCGACGAAUCUUUUCAACCACCUUUGAAGUCCCCAGAACCACAUUCACCAACUCAAGAAGAACAAGUUCCUCCUGAACCACAAGUCAAUUAGGAAGAAGAAAAACCUUUCCAAGGACCACUCCCUCCCCUGUUAGGAUAUUUUCAGUUCUGCGCUGAAACUUUCCAAGAAAAGGUCACUUUCACGGAUCUUGAUGCUCCUUCCUCCUCAACCGCUACACCAACUACAGAGCUUAGGAACUACUUCCUGAAGCUUGCACAACAUAGUGUCAACGUCACUCUUCCUUCAAUCCUAGCCGAGAAACAUCCUGAUGCAUAUCAGGAUCUGGUCAGAUACCUUUUCUACACCUUCGUCAAGACAGCUCCCAAAUCCUAAUUUCAAGGGAUUGAAGAAAUGAUGACGGUCUCUAAGUUUGAAUCCUUAGAGGCUGAUAUCUUUGAGAAAUUCAACGUCUCAAACCUGUGGGAUGCCAUCCACGACUGGGUGCCAAACUUCAGGCAAUACCUUCUUGCCAGAGGGCUGCUCAACAUUCCUAUCAACGAAGAGGAAAUUCCUUCAGAGUCACCUAGGGGUGUAAACAAACCAAGCCGCUCGCGAACUAUUUGGAGCUCGGCUCGAAAAAAGCUCGUUCAAAUUCGUUUAGGUAAGCUCGAUAAAUAAACAAACCAAACUUGAGCUUAGUAGUAUUCGGCUCGUUAGCUCGUGAACAUGUUUGUCAAGUGAUUCAGCUUGAAAAAUAUAAAUUAUUAGUAGAUACAACUUAUAUUUAUCCACUAAAAUUAAUAAUAAUUGUAUUAAAUCUCUAAUUAAUUUUAUUUGUCAUAAGAAAAUAUUUAAUGUAUUUAUUAUUUUGAAUAAAAUAAUUUAUUUUUAAAAUAAAAUAAUCAAUAUUUUGAAUAUAAAUAUAAAUUUAGAAAGUUCGUAUAGGCUCGAUUAGGCUCGUGAGCCGCUUGUGAACCUCAAAGUAUUCGGUAAGUAAAGUUCGAGAUUCGGUUCGAUACUAAACAAACCAAACUUGAACACACCACUAUUCGGUUCGGCUUGGUUCGAUUACACCUCAGUCACCACAUGCACUUGAUGGCAUCCGAACAGAACAAAGGAAUGAAGAGACACCAACUGCACAACUCACUCAACUGAUGCAGAGAUUCAACUAAUGAAGAUGAAGCCUGAAGCUCAAGAGAUGGAGAUUGCCGACCUCAAGGUUCAGUUUGCCUUUCUCGAGUCAGCAGUAAUGAAUCUGUAACAUCAGAGUGGAUAACAAGAAAUGGAUGCAGCUACAACUGAAAUGAAAGAACGAAAUGUGGAAAGCGAAAAGAAGAAAGAGAAAGAAGAAACAGAGACUGGAAAGAAUUCUGAAGACAGGACUAGCAAAAGACUUCGCAUUGAUUAAGUUCAGGUGAAGUGUUACAGGGUGAAGAAAGUCAAGUUUUGCUUACUAUCUGUGAAUGUAAGUUUAGUGAAAAGAAUUUGUUAGAAUUAUUUUCGAAGAAGUUCUAUAGUUUUCGCGUGUUUCCUAUCGCGUUUUGUUAUGUUUUGGCAAUUGACAUCUUAUAGUUUGUAACUGACAAAUUAUCAAUUAUUGAUUCACCCUUGAAUGAAUUGAUUCUCUCUAUCGAUAGACAAAUGCUCAUUGUCUCAUUCAUGAUUGGUGUUUGCUUUGUUGAGAUUAGUUUUGAGAAUUGUAAUGAUUAUAUUUUUGAGGGGGAACGAAACUCAACUGUUCAGUUGAAGUCGUGCAAUUGACUGAUUACAACUAUCAGUCAACAAGUGAGUAACUUAACCUUUGUUGUGUAUUAAAAGGAAUACUUCAGUUAAAUCAGCUAUAAUUCUUCUCUUUCAUAAUCUCUGUCGAUUAACUGAUAUGUUUACCUCUCAACUGAUUGUUGGGAACUAAAACUGGAACAUUCUUACUGGACAAGUCUUAUUCAAAAUUGCAUCUCAUAAUUUACUUUAACUUGUCUCGCCCUUGCUAUAAUUACAUAAACAGUCAUUUCCAUCCUAGAGAUCAUGCCAAAUAUUAUUUAUCUUUUAAAUCUCUUAUUUUAAGAAGUUUCUCUGACGGGAAUUUAUUGCAUAUUUCAAAAAUCAUUAAAUUCAACUUGGCGCGCGGAUUUCAAACCAUCAUUGUCUUUUCAAAUGCCCUAAGUAACUAUUCAUCUUCCACGAUCACACGACAUCAUUGCUUUCUCUCUCUUCUCACCAACUCCUUUGUCCUCUCUCUCUCUCUCUCUCUCUCUUGCAUACAGACUAAUCCCCUGCUCCACAGCCUGGCAUUUAAUGUUGUUGUACUGGAGCAUUAAAUGCAACGUGUCCGGUACUCUUCUCUUCAGUUAGAUGCAGAGUGUCGACUGUUAUUUGAGAUGUCUUCAGUUCAAUGCUGAUGUUGAGUUGUGUGAUCAUCUACGAUUGAUGACUGAAGACUUCCAGUCGAGGUAUGUCCUUUCAGUGAGGCGUGCUUCAGUUGAGUUGUCUUUGAUCUUCAGUCUUUGGUUCCUUGUCCACUUGAUCUAACGUCUUGGUAACUCUAGUCAAGGCCUGUGAGAACUGAAACCUUUGGACCUGCAAUUGAGACAAAGACAGGAGAAGCAAACUAAUGGUUUUGGUGUCAUCAAAACUGGUUGGAUAUCUUUUGUGUCCCAACAGUAGGGAUAUAGGAGCUGAAGAAUCCCCCCCACAUAGGAAGCUCUGCAAAUAGAUUUCUCAACCAAUCUACUUCUUGACCUGCUAACUCAAGUGCAAUUAAUUAUGAUUCCAUAGUAGAGUUAGCUACACACGAUUGCUUAGCAGACUUACAAGAAAUAGCUCCACCUCCAAAAGUAUAUACAUAACCACUGGUAGAGCACACUUCAUCAUUAUCAAACACCCAAUUAGCAUCACAAAAACCCUCUAAAACAGCAGGACCAUAAUCUCGUUUUCAGAUUGUUGGCAAAGAGCUUUGUGAAGCUCUCUUGAAAGUUGGUGUUGGAAACUUAGUGAAAUAUCCUAUUCCUUGUUUUGAUGAUACUAAAAUCAUUAGGUUUCCUUUGUAAUAGACUAGAACUACUCAAACUCAAGUGUUAGAGUUCUUUUUCUAGUUUAGUUGCUGUUCUGAAGACUGAAGAACGAAGGACUGAAGACUGAAGACUGAAGUUGCCGACUGAAGCAUAAGUCGAAGAAUCAGUUUUAACUGAUUACUUAAUGCGAGCCACGUGGAAUCAGUGGACUGAUACUAAAGUCAAGUAUCAGUUAAACAUUCUUCCUCGCACUGAACCUCCAACGUUCAAAGGAAGCCACGCACUUCAGAAGUACAGCCGCAUUAAAUGCAGAGAUCUCAGGAUCUUCCUUUCUCUGCAGAGGCCAUUCCUCUUUGGUGAUUACCUUUUCAGAGAUGUCACAUCUCCUGCUCUUCAAAGUAGUCGUUCUCACCAAACAAGGAACUUCGAAGAUUGAAGCCUCAGCCCAAGUUUGAAUUACUCUCUAACGGAAGAAAUCUUGAAGACCUUCUCCGCCAACGGAUCUAUUCAAGACGUCUCCUAUAAAUAGCGCUCGAGGAUCACUUCAAUCUUCACCGAUUCAACAACAUAAGCUGAAACGCUGCCAAAAUCCUUACUCAGCCCAGAGCCUAAACUCUCCAAAGUUUGAAUCGAAGAAGAGAAUCCCAAAGCUAAAAAUCAGUCACUACUGAUUACAUAUAUUCUCUUAGACCUUAGGCAAACCUUGUUUAUCCAAAGCUUAGGUCAAACUAACUCCAAAGAACUUGUUCUUUGAAGUUUAUUUGGCAAGUUUGUAAACCUCUCUUCAACCGACCGAAUUGAGUGUUUGUGUGAAAAAGGAGUUCAGAAAGGUACUCUGUCUCCGUGAGGUCCUAGUGCCCAGUGCGUGCUAGGAGUGAGAAAUCCAACAAGGUGUGUUGGUACUGAAGAUUGGAUCUUCAGUUGUUUCGGUUGUGUGCACUCGCAAGCACACGUUCAGGUUUGAUGUGCACCCGUAUGCACGAGCAUCGGUUCGCAGUGCACCCGUAAGCACUUGCCAGCGAAGUUGUUGGUCUGAUCAACCGACCGUGGAUGUAGAAAGUGUUUUCCGAACCACGUAAAAAUCUCUGUGUUAUUUACAGCUUUCAGUAUUUACUUUCUUACUUGUGUUCUUCCCUUCGUAAACUGAAAACUGAUUAAUAACAAAGAGAAACCCAAAGACUGACAACGUGUUUAACUCUCAGGCUAUUUCGAAACAAAAGUUUUCCGCUACGUGUGUUAUCAGUCUAACUGAUCUAUCUUCUGAUAGUCAGUAAGAUUUAUAACAUCUCUUUUUUAUCAAACUCGACUGAAGCCUUACGUGCAUCAGUUAAGGUCUUUUGACUUAACUGAUAACUCUUUACUGAAGAGUAUUCAGUAUCAGUCGUCAACCCUGUUUUGGUCAAAACUCUUUUCAGUAAAACAGGUUGUGUGAGUUUGUGUUUUGAAGUUUCGUUUUGAUCUCUUGUAAAAAUAAAAAAUAGCCUAUAGGUGUAUUCCCCCCCAUACACCUAUUUGAGGCCCUCCGGACCUAACAGUUGGCUAACUGACCAAACAAAUGAAGAACCUUCAGCAACAAUAAGCAACGCACACCAGGUGUUCGAUAAAACUUCAAGCUGAGAACCUGCACAUAAAACAAACAAAGAAUAAGAAUCAUUGUGUCGUGGUGAAAAUCACUGCCCUAAAAAUGAGAUUCGGCCGGCAACGAGGUCCACGCCCUACGCGCCGAUUCGUUGCCGAAGGUUAACGCAAGUUCCACCCGAAGCACGCACUUCGUGCUUAAGAUGGAUUGGAGAAACAGAGAACCAAUGCCAAAAGAAAAAGAAAGAUGCAGUUACAAUCUCUUUUUCUGAGAGGAGAAGAUGAACACUGCACUUCUCCCUCAACUCACCGGAAAUCAACUUUUAAAAAGAUAAAGAAGAAGACGUGUUUCAGUGACAUUGAGGAAAAAUCUCAACUGUCGAAGACCUAUUCAGCUAGGGUAAAAAGAGCAUAACUAGGGACUAGGCCAAGAAACCAAGUCCAAUGGGCCACACAUACUUAACCAAAGACCAUUAAGCAAUAACAGCCCAAACUAGAGAAAUAGCCACAAAAGCGUGACCAUUUCCAACACUUACGUUAUAGAUUCUAAAAAGCUCAACUCCAGUUCAAGUUUACAAGUUGCGUUCUUUUUUCGUAGAAAAGGUGAAAAGUAGUACAUAUUUUCAUAUAUUUUCUAUGAGUCAGGGGAUUUUUUAUGACAGUAACUUAGAUUGAUUUGGAAAUUAGGACAAUAACUUUCGGACUUGUAAAAAUAGGACACUAAUUUUUUUUAUAUUAAAAUAGGACACUAAUUAAUAAGCAUCGUAAAAAUGGGACAUUUCUCGGUCGAUAAUUGGCCGAAAAAUAUCCUGCGGAUGCAACACUUAUUAAUUAGUGUCCUAUUUUACUCUAAAAAAACUUAGUGUCCUAUUUUUACAAGUCCAAAAGUUAUUGUCCUAAUUUCCAAAUCAAUCUAAAUUACUGUCCUAAAAAACCCUCGAACUCUAUUUUCUAUGGUAGAUAAUUUUUUCUGAAUAGUAUGAAAAAAAAAAUAGAUAGAUCUUUUUUUUUCAUUCUAAUUCAUGAUAACAUUAUCAUAGAGUAUAUGCUAACUUUGUUUUUCUUUUUUAAGGAAGACAGAUCAAGAACAUGGAAGUAAUAUAAUUCUAUUAAUCGCAUAAAAAUGUCGUGUUCAUGAGCGGAUCUUCAUAGGGGGCUGCAUUUGGCUCUAGCCCAGUGCAAGCAUCCAAAUUUUGUCAUAUAUAUAUUAAAUAUAUUUGCCUAAUAUCUACAUAGUUCAGCUCUUAGCCCAGUCCAGUUUUCAGAGAAAAAUAAAAAAUCUUUCAACAUAAUAAUAAAAAAUACUCCCUCCGUUCGCCAAAAGUGGACCACUUUGGCUAGACACGGGAUUUAAUAAAAUUGGUGAUAAUUUUGAUGUAGUGGAGAAAGGGUCCCACCACUUUAUGAGAUGUGUGGUUGAGAUUGAAUUUGUGGUAGUUUUUUUUUUAUAAAUAAAGAGUGUUUGUAAGGAUAAAAGAUUAAAGUGGAUGGUAGGACCAUUUCUAUAAAAAGAAAGUGGUAUACUCUUUGCGGACGUCCGAUAUAGUAAAAGUGGUCCACUUUUGGCGGACGGAAGGAGUAGUUUAUUUUUGUAGAAGAUAGAUUAUUUUUUUAGAAAACAUAUAGAGGUAGUUUUUUUAUAUGCUUUCAGUGUAUAUAUUAUUAAUUAUUUAUUAUAAUCAGUGUCCGAAUUUUAAUCCUAUGUCCAUUAAAAAUCUACUUGAAACAUAAAAAUGAACUGUACAGACUAUCCGAAAAUUUUGGCUCGGGGCCUACUGCCCCCGAACCCCCGUGUGAUAUCUUCAACAAGUUCAGCCCCCUUAUUGGCAAAUCCUAGAUCCGUCCCUGGUCAUGUUAGAAUAUUAUUUAAUUGUCCACUCUUGAGCAGGUGAUUUUUUUGCAAAAGUACUUCAUUAAUUAGAAUCACGUUCUCUUUAAUUGUAAAUUUAUCGUGAGAAGAGAAAAGAUAAGAAAAGAUGAAAAAAGAAUUAUUACAUCACUUUUUUUUAUCUCAUGUUUGCUAGAAAGAAAAAUAUGAGAAAAUAUUAUCACACUAUUAUCCCCAUUCAUAAUAGUAUUAUCAUGAAUUUGCCAUUCAUAAUAGUAUUAUCAUAAAUUUGAGUGAAAAUGAGAUAAAAUGAGUUGUUCAAUUUUUUUUAUGUUGAUAAAAAAAACUAUUCAUCGUACAAAACAUAUAAAAAGAGUGAAAAAAUGGUAAAAAAUUAUUCCACAUCUUUCCAUUAAAGAAAACGCACCCAUUAUGUCUUAAUCUUUAUGCUUUAAACUAAAACGUGAGAUUUCAAUAUUAAAAUGUUUCAUAACGAAAACGAGUCCCAUUAACGCUUGUCUAUAAAUGGAAAGAAUUAAUUAUAGUACGUAAUGAUUUUUCCCAAAUUAAAUAGCAUGGUGAUUCAUCGCCACAACUAUGAAUGGAUUCUGAUGCGUCUAGAAAUUGCUUGCUACAAGAUAUAAAGCAGUAAUAUAUGCUGAUAUAAAGCUCUUGUCUCCACGAUAGUGUUUAAAAUCUCUUUUUCAUUAUGAAAAUAUUGUGAUGAGUAAUUUGAUAUUUAGUUAGGAAAAAAAAAAAGAAUAUUUAAUCUUUCAGGAAUCUUCAUGCCACAAUUUUAUUAGGCAUAUGUCAUGUAUAUGGUGAUCACAUGAGUGGCAUAUUAUUAACUUGAUAAAGAUCAUGUAUAAGCUAUUCCAUAUGGUGAUCACAAAAUUGAAAUAUUGUUGAAAUCAUGUUAUUCCAUAUCAACUUGAUAAAGAUCAUGUAUAAGCUAGUUAACCCAAUAAAAUUUAAUUUAAAGGAACAAUGAGUCGAAUUUUAAUGUAGUGUCAGAGUAAAUAAUACUUCCUAGCUUUGUACCAUUACAAAUGUCCAUUACUUUUAAACAUAAAGAUUAAGAAAUUACAAAUGUCCAUUAUUUUUGAACAUAAAGAUUAAGAAAUAUGUAGAAAAUAAAUAAAAUAGGUUGAUGAAAAUUAUUUAAAUAUUAAGUAUAGAGAGAGAAUUAUUACCAAAAAAAAGAAUGAGACAUUUGUAAUGGGACAUCUCAUUAUAAAAAAUGAGACAUUUGUAAUGGGACGGGGGGAGUAUAUCAUAUAUUAUUGGGGAAAGGAUUAACUAGCUUAUAGACCUAAUGGUUAAAAUAGGACCGUAACUUUAAGGAAUUUCAUAAAAAGGACUACAUGUUACGAAAUUUUAAAAUGAUGACUAUAACUUUUUUCUUUAACAUAUACACUCCUGUUUCGGGUCCAAAAUCAAUUAUUUGGGUUUUUGGUGCCAACUAGAGCUCGUUGUUGAUGUGGUCAUGCCAUCUAGAUGCUUCAUGACAGUUGACAUAAAGUAUGGGUAUCAAGUGAAAAUUGGAGAUCAGAAUUGCUGAUUCUUUUUCUCUUCUAAGCUAAAUUGUGCUUAAAAAAUGAUAAUACAAAAAAGAAAGAAAAAAAAAUUGCCAAAAAGUUGACAUGGCAAGGCCACAUCAGCAACGGGCUCUAGGUGGCAUCAAAAACUCGAAUAAUUGAUUUUGGGCCCGAAACAGAAGUGUAAAUGUUAAGAAAAAAAGGUUAUAGUCCUCAUUUUUCAAAUUCCAUAACAUAUAGUCCUUUUUUAUGAAAUUCCUGAAAGUUACGAUCCUAUUUUUACAAGAAUAUUUCAGCUUUGUAUUUCACUUUUUUAUAUAUAUAGGGAGAGGUUCAAAUAAGAAAUAUUAAAUAAAAUAAGAACGAAGAAUUAUUUUCAACCCUUUUAUUAUUAAAAUUUAUAGUGAAUGCAUAAUUUUUUGAUGGAUGAAUGCAACACCUGAGUUCAAAUUUUGAAAGGAGCGAAUUUUUUUUCUUCGAAUGCAUAGAACUUUCUUCGAGCAUAUGACUUUACAUUCAAAUUGGUGAAGGUGGUUUAAUUGAGCUAAAAACAUGAUAUGAAUUGUAAAAACUUGGUAGAGAAAUAAAAGAAUUUCUUGUUUUGUAGUAUUCUUUUUGAAUAAAUGAAUUGAAUGUUCCUUUAAAUUUGAAUAUUUACUUCUAUUUAUCUAUCUGCUAUAAUCUAGACUUAAUAUUGAGAUCUAUUGGCUAAGGCUUAUUAAGUUCAAAAGAUAGAAUAAAUACAAUUUCAUCUACACGUGUUCUGAUUUUUAAAUCUGAAAAUGAUGCUCAAAUCUGAUCAGCUUAACAUUCGAGUCAUGAUCGAUGUCUUUGUAUCUUCUUUGACCUUUUUCUCUUUAGGUUUGACAUCUUUCUUCUAAUUUGACCUUUGGUUUUUGUCACAACUCUGGCGAAUUGUAUUACUCAACUCUGCUGAAUCGAGAUCUGUGAUUGCUCAUAUUUGAUAAGCAUGCUUCAUUUCUCCUAUUUUAUUAUAAAUUAUUGGUUUCUUACCAUAUGUAUCCAAGUCCUAUGGAUUAUUGAAUUGGUACAGAGGGAAUAUUAUUUAGGGUUAAGUAUCAAUUUCACUCCUAACGUGGAGGCCCUUAUUACGUUUAGCACCCUAUGGGCAGGGGUGUGUCAACUAAGCCCCCGAAGUACCUAUUUUUCUCCAAUUAAGCCCUCUGACUUAACGGAGAGUUAACACCGUUAACUAUUUUUAUUUUUUUUAUUUUGUUGGUGGUGGGACCCACAUUCUUCUUCUUCACCAAACUAGCCGAAAACCUAAUCCACCCCUUCAUUUGUACUCGUGGCUGACAACAAAGUCGAGCGACUCAUUGUCAACAGCCACCGAUCGGUGCCGCAUCGUUUCAGUAGUCACCAUCACUGCUGAAUCGCCGUCGUCUGAGUCUAAUAUGCGCGUCGCUCAUCGUCUACAGCCACCGAUCGUCGUCUCAUUUUGUUUGUUUGAUUCAAGGUCAAUUUCAUAUCUCCCUCACUUCCUAAAGCACUAAAUGCCAGCCAUUUACUUAUAUCUCCAAAGCAACAUCAAUCCCUCAACAUCAGCGGCUACUGCAAACUUUUGAAAAGUAAGAAAAAAUUUGGAAUUUCUUUCAUUUACAGAGAACGCAGCACCAUUCCAGCCGAAAAAUCUGAUAAACCAUAGCCAUUACAUAUCCAUCUAGCAAUGAAAGCAUCCCUACAUAAGAGCAUCGCGAAUUUGAGCGCCACCAUUCGACAGGAGCUGCGGCAGCAGCACACACGGUGACUUCUUUCCUUAUCUUGUCUUGUUUCGUGUUUUGUCUCUUGUCUUGUUUCGUUUAUGUCUUUGUCUUUCUCUUUCCAUUGUGUGUCUUGUUGCUCUUUUGCUUAUGCUUUGUUUUGUUUGCUUAAGGGCAAGCAAAAUCUAAGUGUGAGGGGGGCGUCUUGGAGUCAUGUUUUAUGUUGAGUCCGUUUGUUAUGUCGUUUUUGUAUGUUUUGAGCUUUGUGUUGUUGAAAUAUUAGUGAUAAGCAUGCUGCCCGGUUGAAUUGUGUGAUGAACUUGAGAUUUGAUACUUGAGAAUUGGGAUUUUGAGAUUGAGAAAUUUGUGUUUUUAUUGGAUGAAAUUUGGGAUGACAAAUAAGAGCAACAAGUGAGUAAAAAAACCACAUAUAAGUGAGAAUUGAGCUUAUUAGAGUUGAGCACUCUCUACUAUUUUUCUUUUUGAGUGGUUUGUUGUUCAUGAAGUUGUGAUAUGUUGUGAGUCAUUGGUGAUGCAUGAUAGAAGGCACUAGGGUAGCCUUUUGGCCUGCUUUUGAAUUCCUACCGAACAUUAACCCCUAGUGAGCCGUGUUUGAAGCCUUGACCAUGUUCUUUCUUAUUAGUCACUAAAUAAUUAAGCCAAGGCCUGUUUUGGACUUUCUCUUUGGCCCAGUGAUGCAUGUCUAAUUCUGAACUUCAUUCCAUUAAUUACUAGAGAAAGUUAAGCUGUGUUCUUAUGUGCCGUUUGCCCAAACUGCUGUCUUGUGUAAAAUGAUAAGAAUCUGUGAUCCGUUUGGCCAAACAGUGGCAUUGAUCAGUUCAGUUUUCUGGGAUGGGAGCAGUUUUGGGAGACGAUUUAUGGGGAUCUUUUGUAGAUGAUGAUUGCAUGUUGAUUGAGGAUAUAAAAAAGGAAAGGUAGUUAGCAAAAAAAAAAAAAAAAAAAAAUAAGAACAAAGGGAAAGAAGAAAAAAAAAUACAAAAAAAAGAAGAAAAGAAAAGAAAAGAAAAAAAGAUAUUGCACCAGUUUGAUUUGAGCAUGUAGUAUCAUUGUUAUUGUUGGAGUUUUUCCCCAAGUUUAGUUGCUUUUUUCUUUCUCUAUAAACUUGAAAUUGUGGAUGAUGGUUUGGAUUGGAUGUGCACACUUUGAGUUUCAAUGCUUGAGCUUAGGACCCCUAGGAUCUUGCCAACAUCAUGAAUGGUCCUUAGCCCCAAUACAACCAAUGAGAAAAGACCUCCUUGAGUUACUAUGUGACCAUGACAUAUCACGACCGAUUGGAUCUUCCUUCUUGAGUGUGAAUUUCCAAAUACAUCUUUGAGAGAAGAGUGAAUGUGGAGAGGAAUUUGUUGUUGCUUGAUUUGGACUGGAUAGACAAUGAAAACACUUGUUUGAUAUUUCCUCUUCUUGAUUGGAGAGUUGAGAAUCGAUUUGUGAAGUUGCAUGGUUCGAUUUGGCAGUAUGUUACAUUACUAGUGUUUUGAUGAUUACUUGGCUGUUGUUUUUAGUUAAGUUUGUCGUUGUUUAGUGUCCUUGUUCUUUUAUGUUUUCUUUCCGUUAGUUGUUGUGUCCGUUGUUUCGUUCUUUGCUUUUAGAGUCUUUAGUGUCGUGUCGAGGAAGGAGGUUGUCACGAGUAGCUUAUUUCACCAUUAAAUUCUUCUUUCAUGUCAUACUUGAGGACAAGUAUGAUCUAAGUGUGAGGGGGAUUUGAUGUGUGAUUUUUAGCUACUUAGUUUGGUGUGUGUUUCGUCAUUAUUUUAUAUGAUUUUACAUGGUUUGUUACAUUUUGGCGCAGGAAUUUGAUGGAAUGGAGAUGGAUGCUAGUAGAUAUCAAGAAAUAAUGAAAGUCGAGAAAUUUGAUGAAGAAGUUGAUGAUUUUUGGAGGAGUUUAGAGAUUUGGCUUUGGAGCUAAUUAUUUUAUAAUUAAUUAAGCCAAAUAUUCUUAUGUUAAUUUUUAAUCUUUUGGAGCCUUUUUUUUGUAAGGGCCGAAGCCCAUUUUAUUGGGAGAGGCACGACUACUUAGGGAAUCCUAAUUCCCGUAGUUUUUGCUAGAUAUAUAUAUUAGUUGUUAGGUUAGGAAGCGGGGAGUUUUUUGAUUAGUAAAUUAGCACUAGGUUUAUUUGCUUUUAAUUGAUUCAGCCGCAAGUUUAAAUUGAUUAGGAGUAGGGGUUGACUUUUAAAAACAAAAAGACAAUUUGAUUAGUUUGAGAAUUAUUGCUUUCGUUUCCUUAAGUUCAGUUUUAGGAUUUUAGUUUGAUUAUUCUUUGUUUUGUGAAUUGAGAGCGGCGGCUGGAUCUUCAACUUUGUGGCAGUAGACGAUUUCCUUUUAAUUCCAAUUGUGGUGACUUCUUUUAUUUUCUUGCAAUUUAUUUUAUCGUUCUAUGUUCAUCUUUAUUUAUUUUAUUGUGUUUAGUUUGAUUAUGAGUAGCUAAGCUUUUUAAUUCGGCGAGAAUAAUGAAACACUAAUUUAUUAAUCUGUGAGACCUAAUUUGUUUUAAAAUUGGUUCCUAUUGAUUUUGAUUAAUUCCUAGGGUUUAAAGAUAAUUCCGAUUUUAUUUAAGCCUGAUCAACUUAGGUUUAAUUGGAUUACAGUCAAUUAGCACCUCCAAUCCGUAAUUGUUGGAAUAGGACUGAUUAGUGAUAAAGCUACCAUGUUCGUAGGGGGAAUUAAUUGGUAUAUUAAUUAUUACUAGCGUAUCUAGGAUAAUUGAUAUAAACUGGGUUCCUUCAUCGUAAUGCUAUUAGAAUAUUAAAUCUAGGUCUGGCGUCUCCAGCUAGGUUAUAUUUUAAUAAGGGAAAUAAGCAGGUCUGGCGUCUCCAGCUGUUUAUCGACACAGUAAGUAGGAAUUGGGGUACGUCCGUUGCGUUUCACGGUAUCCUAUAACUGGUUGGUUGAUAGGGAUUAAUUAAUUAUUGCGUCGAUGAUCAGAGCUUUGAAUUAGUGUGGAUUUAUUUGAGCCGAAUUACCUUUCUAUUGAUAUUUUUCUAGAGUUAUUUUAAUUAAUUUAAUUUGCUUUUUAGUUGAUAAUUAUUUUCUCAAAUUAAGGCGUGGUGGCAUCACCAAAAUUAUAGAUUUUAGGGAAUUGAAUGAUUUACCUGCUCUCUGUGGGAUCGACCCUGCUUGUCAUUAUACUAAUUAGUUUUUGAUAAUUCUGCAGGAAUUAUUUUGGUGGUUGGCGACGUCCACCAUCUAUAUACCUCAUUAGCUGCAAUAUAUAAAUAUAAAUAUAUUAAUUAAAAAAAAUUUUGAUUUGUGCUCAUGUUGUGUGAUAUGUGGUGAUUAUAACAUAGAAUAAUAUAUAACUUAAAAGCUUGUGCGCUCAUGCUAUAGAAAAUACCUGAAGAUGAGCUUGUUUUGCGCAAUGUAACUUCCAUGUUCAUAGUUAGUGUAUAUAAAUUUUAAAAUCCUGCAAAAAAAUAUUUAUUCUGUAACACAAAAAUAAUAAAUAAUAAUAAACAAAUAAAAAGGAAUGUUAAUAAUAAUUAUAAGUAACUCUAAUGAAAUAAAUAUAAACAUAUUGAUAUGGCAGCAAAACAAUUACUAUAUCAUUAUAUUUUAUCAAAGCCUAACUUUCACAAUUAAAUAAAGGUCAUUCUACAAACCCAAAAAUUUGCAUAACUUAUAAAUCAGCCUAUAUGACCAAAACAAAAAUUUGAGGACAUAAUUGAACAUUCAGAACCUUUGGAUACAUGUGUCCUGCAAAUAUGGUAUAAUCAAGUUUAUUUUUUUGGGUUUCUAUCAUGAAAAUGAAAUAUUUUCUACUUCUCGUCAAAUGUAAUAACAAAUUAGCAAUCUAUACUAAAAAUGUAUAUUAAAAUCAACAAAUAUUUUAAAAAUUAAAAAUGCAUAUUGCUAUUUCCAAAAACACCAAAGACAAUUAAAAUUAUGAAAUUUAUGAGAGGUGAAAUUAAUAUACUACAUGAGAUCAAUUUUCUUCUACUAAUAGAAAUUCUUGGUAUGAAUCUCAUUUUUUUAUUCCUCAUCAAAGCCUAAAUCCACCCCACCACCAUAUACAAUAAUAGGUACACCAAAUUUCAUAAAUAUAUAAUGCUUGAUCAUUUUAAUGUGUCAUAUAUGUAAGUGCUGAUAAAAAUGAAAUGAUAUGCAACUGCGAUUACAAAACUCAAUCAUAUAUAUGUGUGCAGUAUGAAAUAAACAAUAUAUAUGCCUCUUGUAAUAUACUCCCUCCGUCCCAGCUUUUUGUAUCCAUUUUUAGUUGUAAAUACAACUAAAAGUGGAUACAAAAAGCUGGGACGGAGGGAGUAUAUGCCAGUGCUAAGAAAUUAGAAAACUCCAAACAUGAUGAUAAGAGGUCUCUUAGGAGCUCGAAGGGGUUAAUCAAAUUAAAUAAUAUUGUAGCAUUUGUUAUAUUUGUGAAUGAUGUUUCCCAAAUAUAUAUUGAUAAACUAUACAUCAAGAAUAUGAUGAUUACAGAAAAAGGGAUAGUGAUGAAUUAUACACUAAACAAAAAAAUAUAUAUAUACCAUUGAAAUCAACAUCCAAAAUUCUAGUAUAGUUUACUUCACAGUGUAUUAAUUACAAUCAUCUUUUUGCAUGCUUUCAUUAUAUCUUAGUUUAUUAUUGGGAUUGAUAAUCUUAGAUAUUGAGCAAUGAGAAAUACAAACCAUCAAAUACCAGAAAAUCGCAAACUAUUUUGUAGCAUAUUCAUACUGAAAACAAAACAUAAUCUCCUGAAAGUUUAAUAUAAUAUCAUAGUCGUACCCAUGUGCGGAGCAAAUUAUGAAAUUCCAGUCGACGGCGGCGACCUGCGGAGCAAAUUGGCAAACAAAAUAUUGCUUCUUUAAUCCAUAAUAAUGUCAAUCUUAUUUGCAUAUAUCCUUCCAUGACCAAAACAUGGAUAUAAUUAAUUACCUUGACAGAUCACCUUCAAGCUUCUCUGCCCGACUAAUUAAGCAUUCGACGAUUUUUGAGAAAUCGAACGGAAUGGUUCUCUUCGAACUGUUUAACUUGUCGGGUGACCUGGACAUAUUAUAACCAUAAAAUUAUUCAAAGGGUGACCUGGACAUAUUAUAACCAGAAAGGUAUUCAAAGCGAAUGAAACUGAUAAAUGUGAGAACUCUUGUGGUGAAUCUAUAAAGUAAACGAAGCGAUGAAUAGCUCCUGCAAGACACGGCUCAAUCAAACAUAAAAAUCACAGCCAAAUUAGAGUAUUUCUAUACCAUGAUAAAGAGGCAAAAAAGAGAUGCACAAAUAAGUUCAUAUACCAAUCUAGACAUUAUCAAUCUUAAAUCUGUAGAUAAGCACAGUUUCAAUUAUUAAUCGGGCAUCCCAAUAAUCGCAGGCAGCGGAGGAUGGAUGGCAGAUACUACUCGACACACUCACAGACUCAAUUAUCGCCGGGAACGGAGGAUGGAGGGAUGACUGGUUGUUGUAUACGGCCAGAGAUUUGGGAGAACGAAUAUCUGCUGAGAUUCUCUUGUGGGUGGGUUGAUUUUCUUCAUGCUUAAUAUUUCAUCGAAUUUUAGAGGUCUAUGAAUGUGUGCAUUUAUUUAUCUGUAAUGAAUUUCGUACUUACCUGCAUAUCUAAGCAUUGAUUUCUUUAUCUUUAUAAUUUAAGAUUAGCAUGAAUACGUGUGAAUUGUAAUUUAGGUUAAAACAUAAGCCAAACCCUAAGUUAAUUAUUAGUUUUUAAGUGCAUAUAUAGAACACUAAAAUAAAUAAAUACGUAAAUACACUGAUAAAAUAAAAUAAUUGGUAAUUUAAAAAUUAUUCACAUUGGUUUCGAAUCCAUUGUGUUAAAUUUAAUAGAUUACGCCAAUUUAAAAAUUAUUAUAAUUAGUAGUUUUAAUUAUAUGUAGAUAUAGAGGUGUAAAAGACUCUUUUUCUAUUAUAGUAUAGAUAAUUUAUUGGAUGGAUAUAUUUAUUUAUAAGUCUUAUCAGUAGCUAUAGAUAUAAAGUAUUCAUUAUAGAUUUGGGUGAUAAAUAAAUGUAUAUCAAAAUAGAUUUAUAUUUUAUAAAUAUAAUAGUAAUAAAUAUAUAACAUGGGUAAAAUAGGCAAUACACAAGUUGUCCCCUAAACUGCCUUUCGCUCUUUUUCUAUUAGUAUAGAUAAUAAAUAAUAAACAAGGGAAAGUGUUUGCACGAGGGUUCGGCUCUAGUUCAGUCAUAUUUUUUUUUUUACAAAUCAAUUAUUCAACGAAAACUUGAUGGCAUGGCUCCACUUAUAGAAAAAUUCUUCAAAGCUUCAAUUAGCUUGUUGGGCUUAUCUGGAUACUGAGUAGAGAUGGGCCUUGAUGAUUCAAGCCCAUUAAAAUUUCUAUGUAUUGAUCCACCACAAUGAGAUUCUUUUCAGGCCGCAUAUUUUCAAGCAAUAAUAUUAGUUAAAAAAUGUUAAUCUGGUUGGUCCAAAUAGAACGGCUCCUAAGUAUUCGAAGGCAGUAGGUUUCCAUUAUGGACUGAGAAGAUGUCAGUUCGAGAUGCGCCUCAAGGCUCUUGGUUGCUACUUCACAAGUUAAUGUCGUUAAGACUCAUUCACUGCAUGAAUGUGAGAGAUCCCAAUGUUGGGGCACUUGCCCAAUCUCAAGUCCCUUGAGUUGAGAUGGUUGAGGAAUUUGAAGUGUAUAAAUUCAUCAUUCUACGGAAUGGUGAACAAGGACACACGCAUUGUUUUUCCAGCUCUCGAGAGCUUCGAAUUGAAAUACAUGGAUAAUCUGGUAGAGUGGGCAGAAAUAGAAAUUUGGGAUGGAAGUGAAGUGAAGCUAUUUCCUCGCCUCAAACAUUUGGGAAUUUAUUAUUGCAAGCAAUUGAAGAGUGUUCCAAGUCAUGUCUCGUCCUGCCUUGAAAAAUUGUGGAUUCAGGAUAUCGGUGUGGAAUGUCUGCCAGCUGAUUGGUUAUUGAGUAACAGCGAGACUCUCUCAUGGUUGCAUAUAAAGGACUGCCGGAAUUUGAGAGAAAUAUCAGAUAGGUGGGGAGAAGAAGAAUCAGAAGGAAGAAGCUUCACAAUCACAUCCCUCCCUAAAUUCCCUCGUCUAAAAGAUUUGGAUAUUGAAAGCGUUCCUAAGUUAAGUUUGGAGACUGUGGAUGCAAUGCGGCGCCUCCAAAUUGAUGANCAUUCUACGGAAUGGUGAACAAGGACACACGCACUGUUUUCCCAGCUCUCGAGACCUUCCAAUUGAAAUACAUGCCUAUGCUGGCAGAGUGGGCAGAAAUAGAAAUUUCGGAUGGAAGUGAAGUGAAGCUAUUUCCUCGCCUCCAACAUUUGGAAAUUUACAGGUGUGAGCAAUUGAUGAGUGUUCCAAGUAAUGUCUCGUCAUCAUGCCUUCAACAUUUGUCAAUUAGGGAGAUCGGUGUGGAAUGUCUGCCAGCUGAUUGGCUAUUGAGUAACAGCGAGACUCUCUCUGAUUUGAGAAUAGAGAAGUGCCCGAAUUUGAGAGAAAUAUCAGAUAGGUGGGGAGAAGAAGAAUCAGAAGGAAGAAGCUUCACAAUCACAUCCCUCCCUAUAUUCCCUCGUCUAACAUUUUUGAGAAUCAAAGGCGUUCCUAAGUUAAGUUUGGAGACUGUGGAUGCAAUGCGGCGCCUCGAAGUUAAUGGAUACAAACGCAUUGAGCCGUGACGGUGAGUAUCAAUAUCUUUUGCUAGAAACAGUUGUAUGUGUAUUUUAUUUGAAAAAAAAAAUUAUCAUUUAAUUUCACUUUUAUUAAUUAAUACUAAUAGGUUAAAAAUUCAAAAUUAUGGUAUAUAAUUUUAUAAAAAAAAAUAAUUUUUUGAAAUAAAUAUUAACAAUAAUUCAUAGUAUUAUAAUUUAUUUUAUAAAAAAUAUUAUUAAAAUAAUAGAUAUAAGAAUGGGACAUAAUGGCAUACAUAAAAUUGUGGGACAAUGGAUCUCAUUUCUUAGUUUGGUGCUUAAACAAUAGGAGAUUAAUUAUUUUGAGUUUCUUUAUAUUUUUACAGUGACUUAUCAUCUUAGCUUUUUUUUCCCCCAUUAAUUAAUUCUUUUUUGUAUUGAUACAGAAUAAAGUGAAAGAAGCAAACAAUUGUGUUUGACUUUGAGGUGCCUCUAAAGAAUUAGGAAGUGAAGUAAGCGAUCUAGUGAAGAAGGAAUAAGUGAGUAUCCAUUUUCUCCAUCAUGACUUGCUCAACCUCUUUUCAUAUAUAUUUUUUUUGUGAUUCCAUAUAUAUUCUUUGUUUGAACUUAGUUAAUAGGAUUAUUAUGUCUAGGGUUGAAGAAAAUGCAUGUUUGGAUAACAAUUUGUUUAACAAUUGAUAUGAUUCUCAAAGACUCAAAUUAACUUUAUUAAUCAUUGUGUCUAAACUAAGGAUUCACAUCAUUAUUUAUGCCCAUAGACACAAAAGUGGUAUUACUUAAUGCUAAAAUGUGAAAUUCACAACCGAGCUUAUGUAAGGAGAUCAAAUCAUUUAGCUCCCUUGCCAUUUCCUAUUUUAUGUUAAUUUUAAUUUACCUAGUUAUAAAAAGUUGUAGUGUUUACCAGCUCUAAGGUUGCAAUUGCGAAUUAGGAAACACAAAACAAAACAAAACAAAACAAAUACCAAACAUCUUCCAUAUUCCAUUUUGAACAUUACUUUUUAUAAGGCUCGUUUGUUUGAUAGUAUGGAUACAAAUGUCAAGCUCUUAUUGAGCCAUUUUGAGCUUUGUGAUAGAUUUUCUAAUAGAAUCAAAUAAAUUCCCAGAUGACAUGAGGAUAUAUGAGAUCCAUUAAUAUAAUUUCUGUAGAACUAAAUGUCAAUCUCUCAGGCAUGUGUCUAUUGUUAUGUUUUUAUGAUUUUUUCUUCAAAAAGCUAUUAAUUUUAUUUCAUUAUAUCCAACACUCCAGAGUCCAGCCGUAUUGCAGUUUGUUUAUUGUUAGUUACAUCCCAUCAAACUUGAACUAUCUGUUAUUGUUUUAAUUCCAAACAUUACUGCCCUUGAUUGCAGCAUGAUUCUAAAGCCAUGGCAGAGAUAGAGGAGCUUCUGAGGAGCAUGGAGGCGAGGCGGCCUCAACUAGUGGCGCUAACGAGCUUGCUCGUGAGGAAGAACGACUACAGCGUAGUUGUUGAGUCUGAAGAGAAGGACGAUGACAAAAAUUCAGACAUGGUUAAGUAAUUACACUCAAUACAUAUACAUAAUAAUAUUAAUGUCAUUAUGCAAUCAUGUUUAAAUAAUUAAUUAAACCCAAUUAAAUUGUAUAAUUAAUUAAUUUAAACAACUUAAUUAAUAAAUAAGUAAACUCAUAGCCUAAUCAACAAAAGGCCCUCUUCAUUACAAAAAACACGCAGCCCACAAAAUUAAAUAGUCCACUUCAUUUAUAAGAGCCCAAAAUAAAAUUUAAUAGACGAGGCCCAACACCAAAGUGAAACUUUGAAAACUCAUAAAAGAUAGUAUCAAAUAACUAAAACAUCUCUCAAGCCGCCACCUGCUCCGACAGCAACAUGAGCAUCAGGCUGCGGCCGCCGCCGGUCCUCCCUCCUCCGCUCUCCCACGUUUUCUCUGCCGCUACUUUCUCCUCCCCCAAGACUCGAGAUGAGAUCCAGUGUCCCACAAUUUCAUGUGUACCACUAUGUCCCACUCAUAUAUCUAUUAUUUUUAAAAUAAUUUUAUAUAAUUAAAAUUUAUUAUAAUAUUAUGAAUUAUACUUAAUUUUUAUUUGAAAAAAAUUAUAUUUUUAAAAAAGUAUAUACAAUGACUUUUAAUUUAUCAACCUAUUAUUAGCUAAUAAAAGUGAAAUUAAAUGAUAAAAAAUAAAUAUGUACCCUAAUUUGAUGGAAUAAAUAUUUAUGCAUCUUUUUUUAUACAUCUUCGAAAUUUAUGCACCAUAUUUUUUUACACUAUCUAGCUCACACAUAAUUUUAUUUAUAAUUUACAUCAUUUAAUCAUAAUUUACUUAACAAUAUCAUUCAUGCUCUACUUUUUUUUAAUAUCGCUUUUGGCACAGACUUUCAAGCUAUAAAUAUUUGUUGGUGAGGAUCAGUAAUUUGUGUUUAGUCUUUACAUUUUCUUAUCGCGGUAUAUGGAUUGAGACAUGCAUGAAUAUUCUUCGCACCUUUAAAGUCAAAAUGAUACCCCCUCCGUCCACGAAAUAAAACUCUCAUUUGAUGAUUGACAAGAAAACUAAGAAAACUGAUAAAGGUGUUGUGAGUGAAAUAUAAGGGUAGUUGACUAAAGUGAUAAAAGUAUUGUGGGAUUGGCCUUGGAAUGAUAAAUGGUAGUAAAUAUAAAAUACAAAAAUAAUAAAGGUGUUGUGGGUGGGCCCAUGAGUGGUAAAUAGUAGUAAAUGAGAGUUUAUUUUGUGGACGGAGGGAGUAUCAUUUUGACUUUAAAAAGUGUGAAGAAUAUUCUUGCAUGUCUGAAUCCAUAUACCGCGAUAUGAAAAUGUUAUACUCCCUUCGUCUCAUUCUAAUAGGUUCACCACACAUAAAAUUAUGGGACACUGGAUCUCAUCCCCUUCUUUUGGGCACGAAAAUUAAAAAAAAUUAAUUUUUAAUAGGAAAGUGGUGUGGUCCAUACCAAUAACAUAAAUGGAAACGAGUCUAUUCUACUGGGAUUAGUUAUCCUAACUCGUCUUAUCCUCUUCUUUGGAAUUGCCUUUACCACAUUUCUCCCCGAACAAGCAAGCUCCGUUACUACUUAUGAGUUCACAUAGUGAUCGAAUCAUUUAAUUUGUGAUCGAAUCAAGUUUCCUUUUUCUAAUCCAAUCCCUCAUGCAUGUACGAUCCAAGAGAAAUAUAAUGCAGUGCCCGUCACAAAAGGAAAAACAAAGUUACUAUUAUUCCUUUCUUUUCUUUUAAUUAUUGUUGUCGAAUUAAAGAUACAGAAUAUAUAUAAUUAAAGUGCUGCUUGUCAUCACCUUUUAUUUUGUACGAAUUGUCCUAAAGAUACAGAAGAUGACGGACAAGUAGAGUGCGACAAGGGAGGAGAUACCGAUAAUGACUUGAUUGAUUAUUCCCCUAAACACAAAAGCAUAAAGGAAUAAGUAGUGUUGAUAAAUUGGUUUGCCACCACCACCACCAACUUCAGCUUUUCCAUUUUUAGUUUUAAGAGGGAGAGAGAGACAAGAAUAAAGUAAGAGAAAAGCAUUGCAUUAUUGGUUAAUUAAAGGCUUUUAAUAUAUUAUUAUAUUCAUAUAUUAAAGGCCUUUAACAUUAAAAGAGAGGGGAUUGAAUGGAGCGAGGAAAAAAGAAGGGUGAUGCGGUGAGUGGGGACAUAACAAUAUUGUUAAUUUGUAUUGUGUUUCUCUUUACCACAUUGUUAAAAUAUUAACUAAUUACUGUAUUACAUUUACAGUUUUUUAUAUUAAUACUGCCUACCAAAUCAUUCACGAGCUAACUCGUCAACUUGCAUCAGUCAUCCAUUUCAAUACAAUAAUCGAAUCAUGACCCCAUCAAAUUCUUCAAUAAAAUGCCAGUUUUAGUUUGAUUUCCAACCACACAAGCACAUUAGAAUGGAUUCAAUACAAAAAAUCUAAAAAAAUCGAAACUUUCAAAGCAUGUCACUCACUCUUAGCUCAGAAAUAACUCUUAAAACUUGAAUUAAUUAGCAAACUAAAACUUAUUGUAGCAUCUUACUAAUCCCCAAUUUCUUAACGAAAAGUGAGGCAAAAUUAGUGGAAUCAAUGACAUACCCCAUUUCAAAGAUCCCAUUUUUAUUUCAAUUUCAUGCGCGGAAUUUAAAUCCAAAGUGAUAAUCUGCAAAGGGAGUGUGAGAAAUAUUAUAUUUACAGUUUUUUACUACCUUCGUACUUAUAAAAUAUAUUCAAUUUGUCAUUUUUGUUUGUUUUUAUAAAACUAAUUUAAUUUAUUUUUGGUAAGUUUUCCACUCAUAAUAAAAUCAGAUCUUAUGAGACUAUUACUUCAUUCACAACAUAUUUAGUUAUUUUAUUAAAAUUCAUACACAAUUGUCAUUUUGGGCGUCUGCAAAAAGUAUGUCACUUUUCUUUUUAAGACAUGGUCUCACAUCUUUUACUUAUCAUUCAUCUUUAUAAAUACCCUUUAUUUACAAAAAAAAAAAAAAAAACUCAACUCUUAUUCAAUUUCAACCACUGGUUUCAGAUAACGGUAGAACCCUUUCUCCACUACAUAAAAAUCAAUAACCGUUUCAUUAAAUCCCGUGCACAACCAAAAUGACAUACUCUUGACAAACGGAGAGAACACUUUUUAUAAGGACAGAUGGGAGGGAUUAUAUUAAUACUACCCUUUCCUUUCCUAACAAGGGUCCAAAAGGACAACUCAUCGUUCAAAGAAAACAACAGGAAAGAACAAAGCAAGAACGAAGAAACUCUUCGAAAGCUCCCCCACCAAAACGUUCAUCAGCUAACUGGUCAAAGUCAUCCAAUUCUGUUCCUUAAUCCUCUCUCUCUCACUGAAUUUCUCUGUUUCUCUCUCUAAGUUAUCAGCUACCACAAAGCAAGGAAGCAGCAGUCCUUAAAGCGCAGUAGGGAAGGUGAAGUUGAAUUUCGAUUCUGCUUGUUGAUUGUGUGCAGUGAAAUUUGAGAUUUUUUUCUUCUUCUGUUUUUUGGUGUUUCCAUUUGUACUAAUUAUCAUGUUUGCAUAUGGAAAUCAAUCAUUUUCUUCGUGUGAUAUAUUACUCUAUUCAAUUAUGUGUGUCAGUAGCAGCGUGGGGAAUAAUUCAAUACACUUUGAAACAAGUAGUGAAAGUUUAGAUUUGCUCUUAUGAGAUUUGAUACUUUGAGUUUUUCUCAUAUAUUUAUGCACAUUUUCUUUCGUGGGAAUUAUCACAUAUAGCCCUUUUUAUUAAAAACAUAUAAGUUUUAUAGUCCUAAUUUAUAAUAGAUAUAUAAGUUAUAUAAUCAUUUUAAACUUAAAAGACUACAAUAUCCUUAGACUUUUUUGUAUUUUUAUUUAACAUUUUACAUUUUAUUUAACAAUUUCUUCUCUACACAUUCUCUCUUUACACUAAAACUGCCUCUGACGGAUCGCCGCCGCCACGGCAUUGCAAUUGUUGUCGCCAUACUUGAUGGUGUACUCGAUGACACCAUCGAGUAGUCGAUGAUGUACACGAUAGUGCAAUCGAUUACAUCAUCGAGUAAAUGAAAAUACAAAAAAGUCAAAGGGUGUAAUAGUUUUUUAAAUUUAAAAUGGCUACAUAAUUUAUCUAUUAUAAAUUAUGGCUAUAAAACUUAUGUUUUUAUGAAAGAGGGCUAUAAUAAGAUUUCUCUUCUUUUUUUAGUACAUCUUCCAAAUAUAUGCACCAUAUUUUUUGACACUAUCUUACAAAUAAUUUUAAUAAUUUUAUUUGUAACUUAUACCAUUUACUCACAAUCUACUUAACAAUAUCAUUCAUGUUCGACCUUUUUUUAUAUCGCUUUUGGCACAGAUUUUCAAGCUAUAAAUAUUUGAUUGUGAGGAUCAGUAAUUUGUGUUCAGUGUUUACAUUUUCAUAUCGGUAUAUGGAUUAAAACAUGCAUGAACAUUCUUCACACCUUUAAAUUCAAAAUGAUACUUUAACCUAUAAGUAUAACACCAAUAGAAUAAACCUUGUAAACAUAAAUAUAUAACUAUUGAAGUUAUCAAUUUAGUGAGUACAAGUACAUAUCGGUUAACGAUCACUUUUUAUAUAUAAAAAUAAAGGUUAUAAGUGUUUUGUGUCUCUAAAUUUUGUUCUCUUAAAAACUUUUUAAAUAUUUAGCGUUUUUCAUAAAAUAAUUUGCUAUAUAAAAUUUGAUGACAAAAAGAUGAUUCAUCUCAUCAGAGUCUAACAUAAACUGUGUUUUUGAACUUUCUUUUUCAACUUAAACAUCAAAAUGAU
rnacentral:lncRNA from 1 species